CGCCUGUAAACUGCUUGUAAAAUUGCGCAGCCGUCAACGAAGAACAUCCAAGCCAGUUUCUCGUUAUCGUUGCUAUACUUCUCUAAUCCCUUUGGAUCAUAGCAUUUCUUUAAGUCAUCAAUCUCUUUCUUCAUGUUGUUGUACAACGUAUCCUUAUCGACGCCAAUUUUUUUGACGAAAAGUGCUGCUAAUUUGAGCUUGAGCUUCUCGGAUUUCCGGAGGGUGGGAUCAUCGUGGUGGAGUGGGCCGAUUGAGAUCACUUUCGGCUUGAAAUACUUCCUGAAAUCUUGGUGACGACCAAGGGUUGAUGGGACUCUUUGUAUCAAUGGUUUGGCACCGAGGUUGAUUUCGUCGCCGUCGAAAGCUUCGUCUAAUGACCGGAGAUUCGCUACUUCUCCAUCUCUAAGAGGGACGUCCAUAUCAAUGCUCACGGAAUCGUUGUUGUCGGUGAUUGCUUGAUCAGUGGAAACUGCUCCGACGGCGCCGCCUCCUUCCUCCGUGGAGAACAUUUUCAGGCUGAGCGGUUGGAAGUAAUAAAGAAGGUGAUUUUGUAAACUGCUUUUGGGUGAGUGAGUGAUGUUGGAGAAAAGGUGGCAAAGUGGAUACGAUGAUGGGAAAUAUUUUAUAGCUUACACGAUACACAUAUAUAUAUGGGAAAUACUUACACCGUGUUUGGUUUAGUGUAAUAGCUAAUCCAUUACGCCCCGAUUACGUGCCUAUUACAUUACUGAUCUAUUCCGGCGUUUGGUUCGCUGUAAUAGGUAUUACGCGCCUAUUACAAUACCGACCUAAGCCCCAAAUUCUCUGCUUUUCUAUUCCCUUCCCAAAUCCCAGAUUACCUAUUACGUCCGGCUUCCCUUCCCAAGUCUCUGUUUUACCCUCCCUCCCUACCCGAAAUCGACCUCCACCCUCUCCUUUUUCUGUCCUCAUCAUUUCUCCUCCCAUUUCACACUGCUUCAUUUUUUUCUCUCGGAGCACGUUUGGUUUUUGAAUAUUGAGGUAUGAAUCAACGUUUGGUUAAAAUGUUUAUGAUUUACUUGUUUAAAGUUUUCUAGAUCUUUUUCUAUAUCUAUAGUUUCUGCUAGUUCUAUUUCUUUGUUUUUCUUUUUGGUGCUAAAUACUCGCUCGAAUUAUUUUUUGAUUUGGAAUUAGGGUGUUUUCCGAUUAUAAUCUUACUAUUCUGAAAUCUUACUAAUGCUAUAUCGGUUACCCACAAUUUGUUCGUAACGAAAAACAUGGUUGGUAUUUUUUCCAGAUUUUCUGUUGGCAGGUCUGCCCAUCGACGCUCCAAGAGUGCCUUUGUAAGUUUCUAUAGCUUACAUAAAGAGGCGAAUAUAAGGGAAUGUAAAAUUGUUAUUUAGGCCCUUAACUUUAUUAAAAUUUCAAAUUAGUAAAGGUAAAAUUAUACUUUGGCCUCAUAAAAUUAUAAAAAUUCAAUUUAAUCUUUUAAAAAUUAUAAAGAUAUAGACUACAAAAAAUUAAAAUUUCAUUCUAUCCACCCUAAAAAAUUAUUCGGGCUUUGCUGCUACUUACAUAAUAAACAUAUGGAAAAUACUUUUGGUGUAAUUCAAAUUUACCCCUUAUAGUCAAUUUAAUUUUCAUUUUUUUUAAUUUAAUUUUCUAUCUUUUGGAAGAGUCGAACUUAACUAUCAAUUUAAAUUUAUGUUUUUUUAACGAAAAUAGUGACUAAAAUAUUAAAAUGUUAAACAUGACAACUCAAACGGCAAUCCACAUCUAUAUUUUUAUAUUCAUUUCUUAUUUUUUAAAUUAUUUAUUGACGUGACAUAUAAUAAAAGUAUUGUUAUGUUAGCAUGAAGUACACAUGAAUUGCCACACUAGUUGUGACACCAAUAUCGUUAAAAAAUUAAUAUUUCAGUUAGCAUAUUUGUUAAAGAAAAGUAAAUUGGUUCUUUUUUGAAAGGUUAAUGGUUAAAUUUAGCUCAAAUGAAAAAAAAUAAAGGCCAAUUUGAUAAAAAAAGGUAAAUGUCAAAAGUUAAGUUUAUCAUUUAUACAAGUAUAAAUAUAUGUCUGGAUUAAUCUAGAAAGAACCAGACAAACUCUACACGUGAUAUUCAAAUGUGACGAGAGGGAAAUCUACACAUCACAAUUGAGAAUAAUAUUAUAGAAAUACUCAAAAACCUAAAACCUUCCCCUUAACCAAGAAGCUAAGACGCUAUGGAUAAUUUUAUAUCUACAACACUUCAUGAAUUUCAUAUGCUUAAUAAGAGUUCUUUAAAUAUAUUCGAUUUUUAUUUUAUUAUUUAUAUUAUUUUGACUCAGUAUUUAAAUUAUCAUUAUGUUACAUGAUUUAUUUCAAAUAUUUUAUAUAUUUUUAUAACGAAAUUUGAAUUAAAAAAAUAUCAAUUUUAUUAUUAAAUUAUAAUUUGAUAUAUUUUGAGAUAAUGCAAUUUUAAGUAUUUCAAUUUAUUUAAUCAUUAUUUUUAAACUCGUUUUUUGUUUUGUUAGUAUUGCAUAAUUUUAACGUGUAUAUAUAUAUAUAUAUUUAAAGUUCUACUUAUUUUUAAGUUAUGUCAAAUAAUUGACAACUUUAUUAAAGUAUGCAUUUGAAUUUAUAAAUUUUUUUAGGUUGAAAUUAAAUUGUAUACUUUUACGAUAGUAAAAAUAUAAUUUUAUCAUUUUAAUUGCCUAUAUCGUUAUAAAUUUUAAAAUAUUAAAUCAAAUUUAUAUCAUUUUUGGAGGGUAAAGUAUAAUUUUAUCAUUACUAAUUUAAAAUUUUAUAAAUUAUAAAGGGGUCUAAAUAAUUUUUUUUUCAUUUUAAAGGAGACCAAGACUCUACAACCCUUGAAUUCGCCUCUAUCCAUAUAUUAUAUUUUAUUAAUCGAUUAUACAUGUAAACAUAUUUGUUUUUACUAAUACAUUUUAUUAAUCAAAUGGCUUUUUUUUUUUUACUGUUAAGUUAUCUUUUUUUAACUCCAUACAACAAAAUUUAUUUGCUCACAGUUUAACAUAUUUUUUUAUUAUUUCAGCAAUAAUAUUUUAUACUUAUCUAUAUAUCAAAUAUCAUGAUUCUCUAACAUUAUUAAGAUUAAAUAAAUAAAAUAUGUAUAUAUAUAAAUAAUGUUUUUUUACAAAAUUUUAAUUGUUUAAUCUCAAUAAUUUUCUUUUGCAACAUUAAAUCAUAUAAUACAUUUAGAAUAUUAAAAAUGUAUCAGAUUUUUAUUAAUAUAUACAUACAAUAAAUUUGUGUAUAGCAUGAGUAAACAAAUUAAUUAUUAAACUAUAAUUUGGCUCAAACUAAGUUAACCUUAACUUAAAAUUAGGUUAAAGUACUUGGGAUUUGGGACUUGGGAGGUUGGACUGGAUUAAAUUAGUCCUUCUGUUAUUAAAUGGAUCGAUUUAGUCCUUAUAUUAUUAAAAAGAAUCAAAUAAGUUCAAACUGAAAUAGAGUUAACAUUUACUGUAUAAAAAAUGUCUCGGCAAUUGCAAUUCAAUUCCAAACAGAAUGGUUCAUGUAUAUAACCAUAAGAACUUUUUAAAUAUUCACUUGUUAGACAAUAAUAGUAUAGGACUAAAUUGAUCCAUAUAUAUAUUAUUAAUAGAAAUGAGAAUUGUGCUUGGCCAAGUUUCUAAGUUUGGUAUUUGUUCUUACUUUCCUUCUUCAACCGUAGGAGCCACUCUCAUGACUUUUAUUUACUUUGCCAAGUUACUAAGUCAUGACUUUAGUAAAAGAUUUAGUUCCAUUUGUCGCUCCAACAUAACUUUUUUUUAACGAAGAUUCCAGUUAUAUCGAUAGGUAUACAUUGUUUCAAUAAUAAUUCGAAACAAUCAAUUUUAUUUUUUGCACAACGGUGGCGGGAGGUGGCAAGCAGGGGUAAAUGUAUAAGAUUAUAAAUUUCAAAGGUAAGAUUGUAAUUUGGCCCCAAAAAAUCAUAAGGCUUUAAUUUAGUUCUUUAAAAAAUUAUAAUGGUAUUAGCUAAUACAAUGAUGAAACUGUGUUUUAACCCUUAUCGAAAUUUAUAAUUUAAUUUCGGUCCCUCAAAUAAAAUUUUUGACUUCGUCCUUAUUUCCGCACUAGUAAAAAUUCUAAUCUAUAUCAUCUGCAACGGCCAAUACUAUAACAGUCUGAUUUUCAAUGGUAUCGGAAAAGAUGGUUUUGAAACCCCAUUUUCAUUGUCUGAGUCCAUAAAUAUUAAUAUUUAAUAUUUACAAGGCUAGUAUAAAAGUUUAUUGCAGUUUGGUCCAGCAAUUUUGUCUAAUUGAUAGUUAAAUAAGGUACAUGAACUAAAUUAUAAAAGUCCAAUCAAUAUAGGUUUUUAAUUAGCAAAGGACCAAAAGGGCUAUUAAACCAUCUUUUAUUAUAUGAUAGUGGAUAUAAACAAAUAUUAAAUUUAGUUAAUUAAACUUGAUUAUGAUUAAUUAAUCCAGUUUAAUUAAAUUCUAAUUAGACAAUAUAUACAAAUUAAGUGGAAAAAAUGAAAACAUUUUUCAUCUUCAUCAUCUUUGCUGAAUUUGAGAGACAGAAAAACCUAGAAAGCUUUCAUACAUUCGGUCCUCAAUUUCUAAGGCGAUUUAAGUUUUUUUCUUGUAACUUUUAUAUAUUUGAGGUUAUGGACGCUUCAUUUAUUUAGCUCAUGUAAUAAUUUGUAAAAUUGUUAAAGUUUUUGAAAGUUGCCGUUUUUAGUUUCUUGAAUAAAUAAAUAUUAAAUUAAUAGAUUUUAAGGUUAGAUGUGAAAAAGAAUUAAAUUAUAAAAUUUAAAUUGAUAAUUUUAAGCAAAAGGAUAAAAUUGUAUAAAUUGAAAAUUUGACGCUAGUUUUUUUAUAGUUUUAGAUAAUAGAGAGUUCUAAAAGAAUGUGAUUGAAAUUGAUUUCUGAUUUAGAGAUUAAAUUAAAUAAAAUAUGAAAUUUUAAAAAUAUCAUAAAAAUAAAAUUUAACUGACUCAUGCAUGCAUAUAACAAAAACUAAAAUUUUAAGGACACACCUUCAUGCAUUUCACUUCAUUAAUAACGAAAGAAGCAUGGCUACCUAGCUUUCUGCUUCAUCCAAAAUUGUUGAACUUUGGCCUAUAAUGCAAUAGUAGAGAAGCAAUGAAGCUCAACCAGUACAACAGCAACAUUUUGUUCAUAUGCAACUAGCUUUAGUUCUUUUGUAAUUUGUAUUUAAAGUUAGUAAGAUUAGUUGAUGAUUUGAAUAAUGUCUAAUGUGAUGUAAUAGUUGAUAUGCCAACUACAUUUUGUGUGUAAUUUAAGCUUUGUUUUAGUCAAGUUAUUAGUGGGAGCAGUUGUGUAUUAGGAAACUCUCAUGUAACUUAUAUGUUUAUCUUAAUGAAAAAUGCAUAUGAAAUUAGUUUUCAAGUUUCAUUUUUGUUCAAUUCUCUUUGUAUUCGUUUCUUGCUACUUUUCUCCUUUGUUUUCUAUCAAAACAUCAACAAAUGGUAUACAGAGCCUGUCAUUUUUGAGGGACUUUAUUGUUGGUAGUUGUUUUUGUGAGAAACCUUGAAGAAAAAGAAACUGAGGUUGUUGUUUUUAUUGUUGCUGCAAAAUGAGUUUUACACCACCACCACUACCACCUCUUUUUGCUGGUGAAAACUACCACAUUUGGGUAGUAAAGAUGAAGACUUACCUGCAAGCACAUGACUUGUGGAAUGUGGUUGAGAAUGACACAGAACCAGCUCCAUUGAGGGCCAAUCCCACUAUUGUAGAAAUUAGACAACAUUGUGUAAAGUGUGCUAAGAAGCACAAAUCUAUGUCAUGCUUAAAAAAUAGUGUCUGAUGUGAUCUUCACUCGAAUAAUGGCUUGUGACACUCCAAAGUAAGCCUCAGAGAAGCUGAAGGAAGAGUUUCUCGGGCCAGACAAGACUAGGCAGUAGCAGUUGAUCAACCUUAGGAAGGACUUUAAGAACUUGAAGAUGAGAGAGUCUAAAACAAUCAAGCAGUACUCUGAUAGGAUAAUGGCCACAGUCAACAACAUCAGGCUCCUUAGAGAUGAAUUCAGUGAGAGUAGAAUUGUUAAGAAAGUCAUUACAACCCUUCUUGAAAAAUUUAAAGCAAAAAUCUCCUCAUUAGAAGACUCGAGAGAUUUAUCAACCAUCUCACUAUCUGAGUUGAUAAAUGCUCUAUAUGCAUUAGAGCAAAGAAGGGCCAAUAGGAUGGAAGAGCAUCCUGAAGGAGCUUUCCAACUAGAAACCAAGGAAAGCUCAGGUUCAAGCUAUAAAGGAAAGAAACCAUGGCUUAACAAAAGGGAGAAACCAAAGAGGGAUGCAGGGAAGAAAAUGUUCCCACCAUGUAUUCACUGCAAAAGGUCCACACACUUGGAGAGGUAUUGCUGGUACAGACCUGAUAUUCAGUGUAAGAGCUGCAAGUAGUUUGGUCACAUUGAAAAGGUUUGCAAGAACAAAGGAACGACAUAAGCUCAACAGCAAAAUCAAGCUCAAGCUGCUGAGGAUAUUCAAGCUCAAGAGGAGCAUGUUUUCACUGCAUCCUAUUUUGCAACCUCAAGAAAAUUCAGAAGAGACUAGUUAGUAAACAGUGGCUGCACUCAUCAUAUGGCAUCUGAUGAAGGGUUAUUCAGAGAUCUUAACAAAAGAUUUGUUUCCAAAGUUAAGAUUGGAAAUAGAAACCUUAUUGAGGCCAGAGGCAAAAGCAAUGUUGUGAUCAACACACAUUCAGGUAACAAAAUAAUUUCAGAUGUUCUUUUUGUACUUGACAUAGACCAAAAUCUGCUUAGUGUUGGUCAAUUAAUAUAAAAGGGUUAUUCACUCAAUUUUAAGAACAACUCCUGUGUUAUUGGAGAUUCACUUGGUGAAGAAUUAGUUACAGUUGCUAUGACUGAGAGAUGCUUUAUGUUGGAUGUGAACCAGUUUGAAAUGAAGGCCUAUACUAGUCUUGCUGAUAAAGCUAGUUUAUGGCAUAAAAGGUUAGGCCAUGUCAAUUAUAAAUCACUCAGUUUGUUGCACAAACUCAAUUUGGUUGAAGACAUGUCCAAGGUUGAAGUCAAAGACAAAGUUUGUAAAAUUUGUCAGCUUGGGAAGCAAGUGAGAUUGCCUUUUCCAGUUAACAAGGCAUGGAGAGCUCGAGACAAGCUUCAAUUGGCCCAUACUGACAUUUGUGGACCAAUGAAGACCUUUUCUUUGAAUGAUAGCAGAUACUUUGUGCUAUUCAUAAAUGAUUAUACAAGGUUCUACUGGGUAAUUUUCUAAGACAAAAGUCAAAAGUACCUGAAGUAUUCAGCAAGUUCAAAGCCUUAGCUGAGAAUUAAUGAGGCUGUAAGCUUAAGGCCUUGAGAUUCAGUAAUUUGAUGAGGAAAAUGUAUGGAACUGGAAUGUUACAGAUGCAAACUUGAGUGAGGAAGGUCAACAAGAUAAUAAUCUGUAACCAGCUGAAGAAGAAGAGCCAAUUGCUGAUGAUUUUGAUGAUGUACCUGUGAAAGACACAAGAACCAUUACUGACAUCUAUCAAAGAUGUGAUGUUGCAAUACUGGACCUACAAAUUUGAUGAGGCUGCCAGAGAAUAGUGUUGGAAAAGGGCCAUGGAAGUUGAAAUGGAGAUGAUACACAAGAACAACAUUGGGAACUGGUUGACAGACCAGACCAAAAGAGAGUUAUUGGUCUGAAGUGGGUGUUUAUGGUUAAGUACAAUAUUGAUGGGUCUCUAAACAAACACAAGGCAAGACUUGUGGUGAAGGGAUACAGCCAACAGUAUGGCAUCGAUUUCAUAGAAACAUUUGCUCCAGUUGCAAGGUUAGUUACUAUAAGGCACUUGUUUUCCUUAGCUGCUCAAAAGAAAUGGAGAGUGAAUCAAUUGGAUGUUAAGUCUGCUUUUCUGAAUGGCUUCCUUAAGGAAGAAAUCUUCAUUGAACAACCAUAUGGGUUCAAGAUUCCUCAUGAAGAGAAUAAGGUCUACAAGCUGAAAAAGGCUUUGUAUGGUUUGAAGCAAGCACUAAGGGCCUGGUAUGACAGAGUUGGUGCAUAUCUGUCUAGGCUCAGUUUUGAGAAGAGUAUCAGUGAGCCUACUCUCUAUGUGAAGAAAUCAAAAAAUGAAACCCUGUUGAUUAUGUCACUUUAUGUAGAUGAUCUACUAGUAAUUGGAAGCGAGGGGAAGCUGAUUGAAGAGUUUAAAAUAUAGAUGCAAGAUGUCUUUGAAAUGAGUGACUUGGGGGAAAUGACUUACUUUCUUGGCAUGAAAGUGAAUCAGUUUGAUCAUGCCAUCUUCAUAAGUUAGCAAGCUUUUGCCAUAAAUAUUUUAAACAAAUUUUGCAUGUCAAAAUACAAAAUUUUUAGCACACCAGUGGCUCAAGGUGAAAAAGUAACCAACCUUGGCAACCAUGAAAGAGUUGAUGAGAAGGUGUAUAGAAGCCUUGUAGGUUGUCUACUCUACUUGACAGCUACAAGGCUUGAUAUCAUGUUUGUUGUUAGCCUUCUGUCCAGAUUCAUCCAUUGUCGCAAUGUUGUUCAUUUUAAGGCAGCCAAAAGAGUUCUUAGAUAUGUGAAAGGGACUUUGGAUUAUUGAGUGAAAUUUGGGAAGACAAACGAACUCAAGUUGAUAGGGUAUUCUGAUAGUGAUUGGGCAGGUCCAUUGAUGACAUGAAGAGCACAUCUGACUAUUUCUUCACUCUUGGCUAAGGUGUUUUUUGUUGGAGUUCAAAGAAACAACAAAUAGUUGCUUAAUCAAUAGCAGAAGCAGAGUGCAUUGCAGCUGCUGUAGCUGUUAAUCAAGCCAUUGGUUUAGGAAGCUCUUAUGUAAUUUGAAUGAAGAUCAAGUUGAAGCUACUAAUAUUAGAGUUGACAAUAAGUCAGCUGUUGCCAUAGCAAAAAAUUCAGUAUUUCAUGGCAAAACUAAGCAUUUUAAGAUUAAAUUUUAUUUUGUUAGAGAGGUUGAACAAUCAAAAGAAGUUAAUUCAAUUCAUUGCAGCUCAAAAAACCAGCUUGCCGAUAUUCUAACUAAGUCUCUCGGUGCUAUAAGAUUUGAGAACUUAAGAAGAAGUAUUGGUGUUUGUUGCAUAUAGUCCAAGGAGGAGUGUUGAACUUUGGCCUGCAAUGCAACAGCAGAGAAGCAUUGAAGCUCAACCAGCACAGCAGCAACAUUUUGUUCAUAUGCAACUAGCUUUAGUUCUUUUGUAAUUUGUAUUUAAAGUUAGUAAGAUUAGCAGAACUGGAUAUUGUCGUAUUUGAUUAUAAAAAGGUGUCGGCUGGAAUUUAAUUCUCAUUGAGUGUUUUUUUAUAAAAUAACUUGAAAAUUUUUAUUAAUUAUAAAAAUGAUAUUUUUUAUUAGGUAAUAAAUAAUAAAACUGAGUGAAAUUAAAGAGAUUAGUGCCACAUCAACCAAUCAUUAACUGUUAAAAUUAAAAAAAUUAUUUUUUGAAUGAAGCCAACCCAUAUCGCAUCAUUGCGGCAGAAAGCAAUAAAGUAUGCACUAAUCAAUUGUUUUUAAUUGCUAAUAUUUAGUGAUAAAAUAAUAUUUAAUUAUCGAAAUUUGAUAAUAGUAACGAAGUUGAAAAAGGUUUUACAAUUUAGUUUUGAAAUAUAUAUUUUUAUUGAAGUUAAACUGUAAUUUAAUUAUAUUGAUUUGUAAUUUUACAUUGUUUAAAGGGACUAGAUCAAUUUUUUAUUAUUUUGGAGGUCAAUAUGCAAUUUAACAUGUAAAAUUUCAACUUUCAAGGAGACUCAAAGCAUAAAUUAACAUUUUAGGGGACCAAGGUCUUGCCUACCCCUUGUCGCCACCCCUCAUUGGUAAUUUAACUACUUCGGCCUUUGAAUUUUUUUGUCUAAAUUUAUCCUGAAAUUUGAUAGUUUUUCCUAAUGUAGUCCUUGAACAUUGGUCUAUGCUACAUCUUAGAUUUUUUUUAAAAAAUUUUUUAAAUGAUGACAUGGUUUUUUAAUAGAAUUUAAGUUCAAGAAUUAAAUUUAAAAAAUUGUUAAGUUCAAAGGCUAAAUAUUACAUUAUCCUUAAUAUUUGUUACCCGGUUUUAGAAGUCCAUUGAAUUUCUUGCCUGUUUACUUUUGUUAUUAACCAUUGCUUUGUUCUUCUUUGUUUAAUUUUAGGUCCCAUAAUUGAAAAAAGAAUGGAUGAGAAAUUUCUAAAAUCAUUAGAAACAAGAAAAUAUGAUCUCAAAUCCAAUGAAGCAUUGAAGCUCAACUAGUACAGCAGCAACAUUUUGUUCAUAUGCAACUAGCUUUAGUUCUUUUGUAAUUUGUAUUUAAAGUUGGUAAGAUUAUUUGAUGAUGUGAAUGAUGUCCAAUGUGAUGUAAUAGCUGAUAUGUCAGCUACAUUUUUUGUGUAAUUUAAGCUUUGUUUUAGUCAAGUUAUUAGUGGGAGAAGUUGUGUAUUAAGAAACUGUCAUGUAACUUCUAUGUUUAUCUUAUUGAAAAAUGUAAAUGAAAUCAGUUUUCAGGUUUCAUUUUUGUUCAAUUCUCUUUGGAUCCGUUUCUUGCUUCUUUUCUCCUUUGUUUUCUGUCAAAACACCAACAAAAAUUCACAUGUAUACAAAUUAGGACAACGUAAGUGGUCACUGAACAGCCCUAUUUAAAGAAGAAUAUACCAAAAUAAGACAAACCUAAGACCUGAACACUGACCUCAUGUGCUGCAAAGCUAUAAGAUGUUCUGAAAUUACGAAAAUCUUGUUAACAUUAAUGGAAGACAAUUAAUAAUGGUUGCCAUUAACAUUAAUGGGAGACAAUCAAUAAUGACAACCACCAACUUUGGAAAAGUGGCAAGGGAUAAUUUUUUUUGGUCCUUGAGAUAAUGGGCUAUUUAUUGUUUGGUCCUUGAACCUCAACUAUAAAUAGGUCUUCUCAUUUCUCAUUUCAAUUCAUCCCAACCAAUCUUUCUCUCUUAGUUUUCUCUCUUCUCCCAUUUGAGAAUUCUUAAGGAAUUCUAUUUGUUUGUAAUACUUUGAAGAUAGUAAAGUUAUCAUCUGGUGUUAGUGCCCGAGGACGUAGGUAUAAUUUACCGAACCUCGUUAAAACUCUUGUGUUCUUUAUUGUCCUAUUUUUCUUUCAAUAUUUGAGGGUAUAAUAGUAGUAUUUAAUUGUGCUAUUAAAUUACUAUAGAAGGGAUAUUCUGUCUAAGGAAAGACUUGGUAUUUAAGAGAUCCAUGUGAUCCACCUCUCUUCCCUGGGAAUUGAACUUUGUGUGAUUUUUAGUACAAUAAUUUAUACGCUUCCAACCCUAUUGGAACUACAAGUGGUAUCAAGAGCCGAAGGUUAAUCGUAGUAUGCUCUGUGGUUGCAGUUUAAACUGAUCUUCCACAUCAGAAAAGAUUUCCUUAGGUAUAUUGAAAGAUUAUGGAGAAAACGGUCGGUGUAGGAGCUUCAACAUCGUCCAUGUGGACAAGACCGACAAUUGCAAAUGCAAGAUUGGCCGUAGAGAUCUUUGAUGGCACGGGCCAUUUUGGUAUGUGGCAAAGUGAGGUUCUAGAUGCCCUUUUUCAGCAGGGUCUAGACAUUGCCAUUGAUGAAGAGAAACCAGAUGAUGUACAGGAGAAAGAUUGGAAAGCGAUCAAUCGGUUGGCAUGUGGCACAAUUCGAUCAUGCCUUUCUCGAGAGCAGAGGUAUGCUUUUUCAAAAGAGACUUCUGUAAAUAAGUUGUGGGUGGCACUUGAAGAUAAUUUUUUGAAGAAAAACAGUCAAAAUAAGCUCCACUUGAAGAAAAGACUGUUUCGCUUCACAUACGUCCCAAGUACCACAAUGAAUGAUCACAUCACCAAAUUUAAUCAGUUAGUCACUGAUUUGCUGAAAAUGGAUGAGACAUUCAAAGAUGAAGAUUUGGCUUUGAUGCUGUUGGGGUCACUUCCUGAGGAGUUUGAGUUCCUAGAAACUACUCUACUUCAUGGCAGGAGUGAUAUAUCUCUGAGCGAAGUCUGUGCGGCCUUAUACAGUUACGAACAGAGAAAGAAGGACAAACAGAAAAACUCAAUCAGAGAUACAGAAGCUUUAGUAGUCCGAGGUCGUUCAUACACUCGGAAGAAAACUCAAAAUGGGAGAUCAAAGUUAAAGUCCAGACUCGGGAAAGAUGAAUGUGCUUUUUGUCAUGAGAAAGGCCACUGGAAGAAAAAUUGUCCAAAGCUGAAGAAUAAGGGAGAAGCUGCUGUAGAUGCUUGUGUUGCUAAGCAUGAUACUAGUGACUCUGAACUAUCACUGGUUGCAUCAUCAUCGUCAUUCCAUUCAGAUGAGUGGAUAUUGGAUUCGGGUUGUACCUAUCAUAUGUCCCCUAACCGGGAGUGGUUCUCUGAUUUAGUAGAACUAAAUGGAGGAGUUAUUUAUAUGAGCAAUGACAAUGCCUGUAAAACUGUUGGGAUAGGUUCAAUCCAAUUAAAGAAUCAAGAUGGAUCAACCAGAGUUCUGACUGAUGUUCGGUACGUUCCCAGUUUGAAGAAAAAUCUCAUCUCAUUGGGAGCCUUGGAAUCCAAUGGUUCAGUUGUUACUAUGAGAGAUGGGAUUUUGAAAGUGACAUCUGGCGCACUUGUGAUAUUGAAGGGCAUCAGGAAAAAUAACUUGUAUUACUACCAAGGUAGUACAGUUAUUGGAGCAGUCGCUACAGCUUCCGGUAACAAAGAAUUGGACUCAAUGCAGUUGUGGCAUAUGAAGUUGGGACAUGCCAGCAAAAAAUCCUUGCAAAUUCUGGCAAAGCAAGGAUUGUUGAAAGGUGCAAAGGCUUGCAAAUUAAAAUUUUGCGAGCAUUGUGUUCUGGGAAAGCAAAAGAGAGUGAAAUUCGGUACUGCUAUCCAUAAUACAAAAGGUAUUUUGGAAUAUGUUCACUCAGAUGUGUGGGGGCCUUCCAAGACACCUUCAUUGGGAGGAAAACACUACUUUGUUACUUUUGUUGAUGACUUUUCCAGAAGAGUUUGGGUGUAUACCAUGAGAACUAAGGAUGAAGUGCUUAGAGUUUUUUCUUAAAUGGAAAACUAUGAUCGAAAACCAGACUGGCAAGAAAAUCAAGCGGCUUAGGACGGACAAUGGAGGGGAAUAUAAAAGUGAUUCGUUCUUCGAUGUGUGCCAAGAGUAUAGUAUUGUUCGACACUUCACAGUUAGGGAUACACCACAACAGAAUGGAUUGGCAGAGCGUAUGAAUCGAACAUUGCUAGAGAAAGUUCGAUGUAUGUUGUCCAAUGCUGGGUUGGGCAAGCAAUUUUGGGCUGAGGCUGUGACAUACGCUGGCCAUCUUGUUAAUCGUUUGCCAUCAUCUGCAUUAGAAAGAAAAACUCCUAUAGAGGUAUGGUCUGGAAAACCGGCUACAGAUUAUGAUUCCUUACAUGUGUUUGGAACCACUGCAUAUUACCAUGUGAAGGAGUCAAAGUUAGAUCCGAGGGUAAAGAAAGCUCUCUUUAUGGGAAUCACUUCUAGAGUGAAGGGAUUUCGUCUUUGGUGCUUAAGCACAAAGAAAAUGAUCUGUAGCAGAGAUUUUACCUUUGAUGAAUCUGCCACAUUGAAAAAGGUAGCAGAUAAAGAUAUUCAGACGAGCAAUACUCCACAGCAGGUGGAGUGUACUCCAAAACAGGUGGAGUUUGAGCAGAUGAGGAUUUGCCCAGUUAAUAAGUCUAAUUCUCCAGCCACAAUAGAGGAAUUAGAGGUUGAAGAGGUUCUGACCCAAGAACCACUAAGUACACCAGAACCAGUUGCAGUUGCAAGGCCACGGAGAGAAAUUCGUAAACCUGCUCGAUUUACUGAUAUGGUGGCCUACGCCCUUCCCGUUGUUGAUGAUAUUCCUAUCACUUAUCAAGAAGCAAUGCAAAGCUUAGAAAGUGAUAAAUGGAAAAGCGCCAUGGAUGAAGAAAUGCAGUCUCUCCGAAAGAACAAUACUUGGGAGUUGGCGCAAUUACCGAAAGGUAAAAGGGCAAUCGGAUGCAAGUGGGUAUUCGCAAAGAGAGAUGGAUCUCCUAGCAAGAAGGAUAUUCGCUACAAGGCAAGAUUGGUAGCUAAAGGCUACGCUCAGAAGGAGGGAAUUGACUACAAUGAUGUAUUUUCCCCUGUUGUGAAGCAUUCCUCCAUUAGAAUUUUGUUGGCCUUGGUAGCACAGUUGAAUUUGGAGCUAGCUCAACUUGAUGUUAAGACGGCUUUCUUGCAUGGUGAGUUAGAAGAGGAGAUCUAUAUGACUCAGCCCGAAGGAUACACAGAUGCUGGUGGUAGAAAUUGGGUUUGUAAGCUUAACAAAUCGCUAUAUGGAUUGAAGCAAUCCCCGAGGCAGUGGUACAAGCGAUUUAAUAGCUUUAUGAGAAGGCAAAAGUACACAAGAAGCAAAUAUGACAAUUGUGUGUAUUUGCAGAAGCUGCAUGACGGAUCUUUCAUUUAUCUACUCUUGUAUGUUGAUGAUAUGUUAAUCGCUUCGAAGAGCCAAAAAGAGAUAGAUAAGCUGAAGGCUCAGUUGAAUCAAGAGUUCGAGAUGAAAGAUCUAGGUGAGGCCAAGAAGAUUCUCGGCAUGGAGAUAAGUAGAGAUAGACAGAGAGGCAAGCUUUGUUUGAAUCAGAAGCAAUAUCUGAAAAAGGUAUUACAAUGUUUUGGUGUAAAUGAAAACACAAAACAUGUAAGUACCCCACUUGUUUCUCAUUUGAAACUUAGUGCUCAAUUAUCUCCGAAAACUGAAGAAGAAAGAGAAUAUAUGGCAAAAGUCCCAUAUGCUAAUGCAGUUGGGAGUUUGAUGUAUGCGAUGGUGUGUACGCGGCCUGACAUUUCACAAGUUGUUGGAGUUGUGAGCAGGUAUAUGCAUGAUCCUGGAAAAGGACAUUGGCAAGCUGUGAAAUGGAUUCUACGGUAUCUUCGAAAAACCGUAGAUGUUGGUUUAAUUUUUGAACAGGAUGAAGCACUUGGUCAGUUUGUAGUUGGAUAUGUUGAUUUCGACUUUGCUGGUGAUUUAGAUAAACGUCGUUCAACUACGGGGUAUCUGUUUACUCUUGCGAAAGCCCUAGUGAGUUGGAAGUCUACCUUACAGUCUACAGUAGCUGUGUCUACUACAGAGGCAGAAUAUAUGGCAGUUACAGAAGCUGUUAAGGAGGCUAUUUGGCUUAAUGGAUUGUUGAAAGACUUAGGAGUUGUUCAAAGUCACAUAAGUUUAUAUUGUGACAGUCAGAGCGCUAUUCAUUUAGCGAAAAAUCAAGUCUAUCAUUCAAGAACCAAGCAUAUCGACGUAAGAUAUCACUUUGUGCGGAAAGUCUUUGAAAAAGGAAAAAUUCUACUUCAGAAGAUUCCGACAGCAGAUAAUCCCGCAGAUAUGAUGACCAAGGUGGUAACAACAAUCAAGUUUAAUCAUUGUUUGAACUUGAUUAACAUCCUGAGAAUUUGAGCACCUUCAGGUGUAUGGCGCUCGAGAGCGCAUUUGUAGGCACUACAAAAGAUAGCUUUAUCGAAUUUGGGGAGUUGAAGGAAGUGUGUGAAGAUGUGAUUAUCCUAAUCAAAUCUUCAAGGUGGAGAUUGUUAACAUUAAUGGAAGACAAUUAAUAAUGGUUGCCAUUAACAUUAAUGGGAGACAAUCAAUAAUGACAACCACCAACUUUGGAAAAGUGGCAAGGGAUAAUUUUUUUUGGUCCUUGAGAUAAUGGGCUAUUUAUUGUUUGGUCCUUGAACCUCAACUAUAAAUAGGCCUUCUCAUUUCUCAUUUCAAUUCAUCCCAACCAAUCUUUCUCUCUUAGUUUUCUCUCUUCUCCCAUUUGAGAAUUCUUAAGGAAUUCUAUUUGUUUGUAAUACUUUGAAGAUAGUAAAGUUAUCAUCUGGUGUUAGUGCCCGAGGACGUAGGUAUAAUUUACCGAACCUCGUUAAAACUCUUGUGUUCUUUCUUGUCCUAUUUUUCUUUCAAUAUUUGAGGGUAUAAUAGUAGUAUUUAAUUGUGCUAUUAAAUUACUAUAGAAGGGAUAUUCUGUCUAAGGAAAGACUUGGUAUUUAAGAGAUCCAUGUGAUCCACCUCUCUUCCCUGGGAAUUGAACUUUGUGUGAUUUUUAGUACAAUAAUUUACAUGCUUCCGACCCUAUUGGAACUACAAAUCUUUGUUCUUUCAUUGGGUUUCUUAUCUUCCUUUUACACAAUUAAAAACCCAUAUAUAAUUUUAAAAAUACUUUCAGGCUUCUUUGUCUUGCUAAUUUCUGUAGAAAAUUACUGGUCUAUCACUGCCCCAAAGGUUCCAGCAUUUGAAGCACAAGAUAUUGGCACAUCAUAUAAGUUCUAAAUUUGUCACCAACAACUGACAAAACUGAGUAGAAUUACAUUAAUUAUGCUUAACAUUACACUUCAGGCAUACAUGCAAUUAAAAGUAAAAUCGAAAUAACACUAAACAUACUCGGAGUCGGAGGUGAAGAGGCGGUUGAAAGAGCGCGGAUUAAAGAGAAGAGGACUGGCGAGGUGGCGGGUAUUGAGGGCAAUGGAUGAGUGUUUUGAGGUGGGUUUUGAAAGAGCGUCUGAGGGAAAGCGAUAGAAACAUGGUGGAAGAAAGGAAGAGUUAAUGGAAGGAAAAUUUUAGGGUUUUGUUCUUUGUAUGAGAUCAUUUCAUAGAAUUGAUUAAGAAAGGAAGCAUCUAAGGAAGGAAAGGAGCUUAUUAGUGUUGUUUUCCGGUUUGGAUGUUUGGUUUAUUUUAUUAUUCAAAAUUAAUUUUUUUAAAACAAUGAAACAAGUUAUUUGAACCAGAUGGGUUUGAGACUAGGUUUGAUUUUUCUUUCUAGAGUCAGAACAUAGGCUUGAUGUAUGAAUACUUUUAAUUACAAUUGUAUUUGAGCUGUGAUGAUAUUCAACUAAAGCCCUCUCAAUAAUAAUAACUCUAAAUUUAAACUUAAAAAUAACUUUGAGCUAAUCUUGAUCGAUUACUCCAAUCACACAACACGAAUAACUAAAGCUUCCUCAACCUCAACAAAUGUUAUAGUGUCAAGAUUGAACAAACUGUCUCCUAGUACCCUAUUGAUUAGGCAACUUUGAUGUUGAACAUCCCACAAAAACAUGAAAAAAAGAAAAGAAAAAGAAUCACAAUUAUAUUUAACUCAUGCAACAAGUUUCACCUUUUUUUUUGUGAGAAAAAGAUCAAGCCACUAUUAGGGAGUCUUGGGCUUCUAGUUGAAGCCUGUGAAUCAUUAGAAUAAGAAAAUUCAUGUAAUGCUUAUUGCCAAAUCACAAUCUCGUCAGAAUUGAGGUUUUUCAAAAACAAAACAAUUAACAAAUAUUUAUGGCCUGAAACCUUAACCUACCCUAAUAGAAAGGUAAAAGAACAAUGUGCUCAAUGGAUUUCACUUCUUCCCCACACCUCGGUCAAUGAGGAUCCACCUCCUUAAACAUUUUGGCAAUGUUUUGUUUAGUAGUAACACAUUGUGGCAAGACCUCCUAAGGAGAUUUUUGAUAUUUAUUAUCACAUUAAGCUCUCAUGAAUGAUUUAAACCUUUCUAAGACAAAUCAUUGUUAGCAUUUUAUCCGUUUGGGGCCGCAUAUGAGAGAGGUAGAGAAAAGAGUCACUCGUACCCAUAUCAAAUGUUGUAAGAUUCAUCUUCCGAAAAAUGCCACACAAAUUUAUCUCGCUUAGUAGGGGACCUAAUAAGGAUUUUCUCAAUAACCUUAUGUUUAUUUUGGCUAAAACAUUGUUGUAGUAAAUCGCUCUUCCAAAUCCACAAGUCCAGAUCAAUCAGGUCCUUAAACAAAAUAAGGCUUAUCUCAAAGGAGGAAAGGAUGGAAUAUAUUCAAAAAGAUUACAAGUCGAGGACCCAUUGAUCAUGUGAAACCAUAAUGUCCUAGUCACUUUUGAAUUCAAUUUGGUUGCAAGAUUUUUAGUUAAAUUAAUAAUUCAAAAUUUUAGUAGGUAUCUUUCAUGUCUGAUGUACGAUUUUUGAAGACUAAUCUUUUUAGGAUUCGUGGUUACCCCUUCCAACGAUAUUAUUAUAUCUAAGGUUUAAAUAUGAAUUUUUUUCUUAGGAAUACAAUAUGCCUCCCCUUCUCAAUUUUUGUUCAUUGUUAAUUGAUCAUUUAAAUAGGAAUGCAUUUGUUUUAAACCUUGGUAAUUAGUUGGGUCUAGUGAACUUUAGGAGCUUAUUCUAUGCAUGUAACUCCCAACAUCCAUUCUUAAGAAUUCGAUGAUUGAAAUAUUUGGUUUCAAAAUUACUUCAAUUGUAAUUAUUACUUGAUUGUGGUACAAAAUUUUUGUUACAAUGUUUAGAACUAUUUACAACUCCUCCUUAACAUUUAAUAAAAGGAUAAAGGCACUUUAGCACGCUUCAACCCACAUAUCCUUCUAUACUAACAACAAUGUUGAUACUAAAUUAAAACUCAAUUUAACAAUUGUACAUAUUUUUAGGUUAAAUAAAUUUUAAGUACACAUAUUGCUGUUGUGAUGUAAGUAUUUAGGAUAAAUCACUGCAUUGUUAGACAAAUUGACCCAGACUAUAAAUUGUAUAUACAAACAAAAUUAAAGAGCAUUGGUAAAAUGUACAAAAAAAAUUGAGUAACAUUCAAUAUUUAUAAUAAAUAAAACACAAAUAUAAUAUACAAAGCUUUGAUGCCUUGAAUCUUUAGGGCUCUUCAAGCAGCCUUUAAUUUUUGUGAUUGGAUGAGUCUUGGCUGCCGCAAAUUGAAGAAGAAAAAUAUAUAAAAGCAUUUCAGAACAAAUACACACAAAAUAAGCUUCUGCAUGUAAGAAACUUAUAUAAGUUCGUUUCGGGUUUCACAAGUUUAAUCUUUUUAAGUUUGAGAUUUUAAUUUUUGAAUUGCAUCAUUACUAAUAAAAUUAUUUUAAGUAUAAAUUAUUCAGAUUAUUUUGAAUUCAAAUAAAUGUUUUGUUUGAAUCAAUUUAUAUUUGGGCCAAUAAUAAAUGGGUUUAAAUAGCUGAUUUUUUAUGGUCAAAGUGAGUUAAUUAGUUAAAUUUUCGGAUUCAUGUUAGAAUUGACACAUUUAAUUAAAAAUAUUUAAGCAUUAAAAUAAUCAAAAAGUCCCUAAGUUCAACUUACGGACGAAAAUUUAUAUUUUUACUUAGACUUCCCGAUUUUUUCAAAUUCUUAAUUAAGCCUCACAAUAAGUAUUGAAAUUUUCAAAAUUUUCAAAAUUUUCAAAACUUGCCUUUAAUUUUCUCAAAAUUCUUGAUUAAAUCUCUUAAAUUUUAUUUUCGAAAAAAGAAUUUCAUUAAACACAAAAAAUUAAAUAGAUUGAAUCCAACAUCUAGGAGUUACAAAAUUCUCAUAAAUAACAAGAGUUUACAAAAAGACUAGUAAACAAAACUUACUUUUGUUGAUGUAUAGCAUAAUAAGUCUGCAAAGCACCAAGCAAAAGUGCAGUAAUGGCACCCACAAAUGCCAAAAACGUCCAAGGACUCCUAAAAUAAGUAUGAUAACCUUGAGCUGCAUGCUUAAUCCACGUAGUCUUACAAUGAUCAUGUAUUUUCCGUUUAACCCCACUGUAAAUCGGACUAGGAACCAAAUCAGUGUUCAUCUUAUUGAAAAGCUUAGCCACUUCUUCAUCACUCCCCAAUCUAUUGUAUAGUAUGCCGGCGUCUCUCAGGUCUUUAACAUCUUCGGCUUCAUCAAUCAAUAAAUCAAGGAAACACAUAUAUGAAGUGACGGUGAAAUCGUUGUCGAAAUCCGGACACAUUUCGUAAGCUAUUAAGUUCAUGGUUGAAUCAUCGACGGAGAUCGGCGGUAAACAUAAUUUUCCGACGAAUAAGAUACGGUUGAAACUGAUGUCGGUUAAACAACUUGUUUCGCUGGCUUUUAACGAUAUCCCGACUUUUUUAAGCUCUUUUACGUUAUGAAUGGUGUGUGAAUGGCACCAUUUUGUUCCUUCUUCUUUUCUACGUUCUUGUUCAUUUGAACACGGAAAACCCCACCGCCGUGGUUUUUCUUUUUUGAAAAGGAGUCUUACUCGUAGUAGAUGCAAUAAGUGAAUUCGCUCUCCUUGCUUCUACUUCCGCCACCAUUCAUCGGAGCAAAAUCUGUAUCAGUCGAAGCAAACCUAUAAAUUUUUUUGGGGUAAAUUACACUAACAGUCACUCAACUUUGGGGUAGCUAACAAAACAGUCACUCAAGUUUCAGUUCAGUCACUGAACUUCUAAAAAAUAACAAAAUAGACACUAAUGUUAUUGAAAAGUGAUAAAUCAGUCACUCAUUAACAAUUGUCAUCACAGGCUUAAUGUGGUCAAUUAACUAGUUGAUGUGACUAGUUAACUUGCCAUGUUGGACAAGUAGUCAAAGGGUCAAAAAGAAAAAAAGAUGAUUAGUUAAGGGUAAAAAGAAAAAUAAGAGAAAUGGAGAAGAAGAAGAAAAGGAGGAAGAAGGGAAAAUGGAAGUCAAAGGGUCAAAAAGAAAAGAAAAGAUGAUUGGUUAAGGGUAAAAAGGAAAAUAAGAGAAAUGGAAAAGAAGAAGAAAAGAAGAACAGGGUAGGAAGAAGGGAAAAUGGAAGGAGCUUCCAAGCUUCAUACCAACGAUUCCCAAGGGUCAAAAUCUGGGAAUUUGGAUUUUGAUCCUUGGGAAUUACUGUUACGAAGUCCUUCCAUUUUCUCCUCUUCUUCUUUUCUUCUUUUUCUCCAUUUCUUCUCUUAUUCUUCUUCUUUUUUUUGUUCUUCUACUGCCCAAACUUCUUAAAUGGGUUUGUUUAAAUGACAGCUAGCCUACCCUUAAAUGUCAUGUCACUUUUUCGUUACGUCUGUAACGAAAAAUGGUUAAAAAGACUGUUUUGUCAGCUACCCCAAAGUUGAGUGAUUAUUGCUAUAAUUUACCCUAUUUCUUAUUUGAAAUUGUAAAUUUUUAACCAGCUAAAUUUAAGGUUUUCAAAACCCAACUCGUUAAGUUAUCGAUUUAUAAUUCUAAUUGGUCUAAUGAAUUCAUCCGAUUAAUUAAAUUAAUUAUUAAAAAUUUUCCAUUUGAUUGCCCAAUUCAAUUAAUUUUUUUUGGUUCAACCUGUUCAUAUAGAUUCUCAAAUCAAUUGGUCCAAUGACUUCCUUCAGACUAAUACCUUAAUUAAUUUCCAAUCCAAAUCGAUUCAAAUAAUAUUGGCUAAAAUACAAUUUUUAUUAUUUUAUUAAUGCAAAAAUUUUACCAUUUUAAAGAUAUUAAAAUAUAAAAUUUCUAUUUUAAAAAGUUGGAUUUGAAAUCAUAAUUUUUUUUCUAAAGAAAUGUACACUCAACAGGACCAAAGGAAUUGGCAGGGAAAUUUUGUUUUAUGGACCGUUUUCAUCACAAAUGAUCUUAUCAAAUUAAAAGAGGAUAGAUCAUCUUUUUUUUCAUAUCAUAUAUACAUUGGGACUAAACUUCCAAAUAAAAAAUAAUGUGUCUUUUUUUAAUUGAGUGGGACCAUAGAUGAUGUGGUGAAAAUGGUCCAUUAAAUAAUUUAUCACAAGCAAGAGUAAUUCCAAAAAUAGAAAAUUACAUUUUAAUUCUUUAAAAAUUAUUAAAUUAUAAAUUUAUAUAUAAUAAAAUUACACUUUGACCCUCAAAAUGGAAAAAAUAUUUUGUUCAGUCUUUUUAAAAAAAUAUGAACUUAUAAAUCAAUACAUGAAAAAAUUUAAGGAUUCGACAAAACUUAUCGGUCAGGCUAGUUGUUGAGAAAAUUGAACAAGGUAUUGAUCCAGAAUAAGAGAUUAGAUUAGAUGAAUUGAGUCAUCGAAUGGAUUUUCUUUAUAUGUUUAAUAUAUCUUUAAUAUUUUCAAAAACUUAUAUAACUGAAUCGAAUAAACUAAUCAAUCAAAAUUAAGAGUAAUCAAUGUAAAAACCUUUUAACAUUUAUAACCUCGACAAAAUGAUUUUUUUAUUUAUUUUUAAAUUCCUUAAAUUACCUGUCCUCGGCUGGGGUGAUAACAGUGUCGUCGAUGAACCUUAUGAUUGCAUUCAUGAACUGUUCGCCAUCACUCGAGCUAGUAAGCAAUUCAAGAACACGAAAAGGUAUUUGGUUCUCCAACAAUAACAGAUCCGAGUACACAAAUGUAAGCAAAUCGUUUUUAAUAAACUGGCCAUAAAUUUUACAAAUAUCAUCACCGUAACGCAUAUAAACUGCUUGUAAAAUUGCGCAGCCGUCAACGAAGAACAUCCAAGCCAGUUUCUCGUCAUCGUCGCUAUACUUCUCUAAUUCCUGUGGAUCAUAGCAUUUCUUUAAGUCAUCGAUCGCUUUUUUCAUGUUGCUGUACAAGGAAUCCUUAUCGACCUUAAUGUUUUUGACGAAAUGUGCUGCUAAUUUGAGCUUGAGCUCCUUGGAUUCCUGGAGGGUGCGAUCAUCGUGGUGGAGUGGGCCGAUUGAGAUCACUUUCGGCCAGAAAUACUUCUUGAAAUCUUUGUUACGGCGAAGGGUUGAUGGGACUUUUCGGAUCAAUAGAUUGGAUUUGAAUUUGGGUUGGCCGCCCUCGAAAGCUUCGUCUAAUUUUUCGAGAUUCGCUAAUUCGCCACUGCUGAGUUGGACGUCGCCACUGCUGAGAGGGACGUCCGUGCACCGCAUAUCAAUGCUCACGGAAUCGUUGUUGGUGUUGUUGUUGAUGGUUGUUUGAUCAGUGGAAACUGCUCCGACGGCGCCGCCUCCUUCCUCCGUGGACGACAUUUUCAGGGUGAGCGGUUGGAAGUAAUAAACAAGGUGAUUUUGUAAACUGUUCUUGGCUGAGUGAGUGAUGUCGGAGAAAAGGUGGCAAAAUGGCUACGAUGAUGACAAAUAUUUUAUAGCUUACAUAAUAAACAAAUAUGGGAAAUACUUGAGGUGUAAUUUAAAUUUACCCCUUAGUGUUUAUAUUUUUACUAAUAUAAUUUUUAACUUUUAAUUUUUUAAUUAAAUUUAAUUUUCUUUUGAAAGAGUCAAUCUUAAAAAAGAAAAGUUAAAUUAAUGUUUUUUUAACAAAAAUAGUGACAAAUAUAAUAAUUGUCCUUAAGAAGCUAAGACCCUAUGAUUGGGACAUUUACAACACUUAAUAAAUUUCAUACACUUAAAAAUAGCUCCAUGCUUCUUUACAUAUAAUAAUUGCAUUUGUUAUUCUACCUAACUCUUGAAAAAUCUCAAAUUUGCAACCACAUAUUAUUCACAUGCCAACCAACCAAUUUAUUACCCACAUGCCAACCAUUUUUUUUAUUGAAGUUAUUGUACUUAUAACCUUUCACAUAUAACUAUGCUUCUUUAGAUAUGCUAAUUGCAUUUAUUGUUGUACCUCACUCGUGAAAAAUCUCAAACUUGCAACAAAAUAUUAUUCACAUGCCAACCAACCACUUUUUUUAUUGAAGUUAUUAUACUUAUAAGCUUUAUGCUUAUUGUAACACUCUAUGUUUGAUUCGAUCUACAGGACACUAUAGUUAUUGUCAGAGCAACUACAGUCAGAAUUACGAAAAGAUAAUUUGUAUUUAACAUCAAUCAUGAUGCAAUUACAGUAACACAUCAAUUAUGAGCUUUAAUCGAGCUUACGAAAGCUUUUUUGGCAGUUCGAGCAAGAAUUAGGACCAAACAGUAAAGAUUUGAAAAGUUUGGAGCGACUUCGUGACUUCAGCUUUUUCUCAUCGCAACAUGACCAUCUCAGUGUGUCACAUCAUAACGAAAAGCCUAUGCUCAUCACAACGAGACUCUCUGACUUGACAAUGUCACAAUGUCAAGAUUUGUAGUCGUGACGUGGACCCUAUAUUUGGCAAAAAUAUACAAUUUGGUACCUAAUUCAAUGCUCCAACUAAAAUCAUGCAAGAAAAAUACAUUACAUGCCAUUUCUAAAUAACUUAAAACUUACCUAAAACAUGCUAAGUAAGUUCAAACAUAUCAUUUCAAUUCCAUAGCAAUUCAUAUUACCAUUUCAUCAUUUAUAUUCAACUUUUCAAUAACUUACACUAAAUAUCAACAAGUUAUACAAACAUCUACCAUUACCUUUAUCAUGCCAUAAUGAAUCAUUCCAUUUCAAACAAUCAUCACAUUAGUUCUUUUAUUUUUCUUUUUUAGUCAACAUAUGAAAACCAACUUAGAUAGAUCACAUUCCAACUUUCCAAAUGCAUCAAAUAUUUCAUAUUCAUGUACUAACAAAGAUCAUGCCAAGAACCCACAUGCAAAGUCAUUAUAUACCACAUUUAACUCAACAAGACUUUUACACAACCAAAGAUUACUCCAAACGUUUAUAUGCAUGUCGCAAUCCUUGACUCAAAGAUAAUAAAAAAAACCGAAUUGACAAUAGAAUAGUGUAAGCUUCAAACGAUCCAACCGACAUGUUCCACAAUGUAACAACCUAAAAGGAAAAAGAAAACAAUGGGGUAAGCAUAUAAGAUGCUUAGUAACUCAUAUGUAAUCUAAACCUUACCUAGAUUAAUUGAACAUAAACAAUUACUCAAUAAGCUAUCAAAUUUAUUUUUCCAUGGCACUUAGAUAUCGUACAUGUAACAAUAUUUCAAGUCGAAAAUGUUAAAUACAAUGUUGAAUCAUUAUGUCUUCUUUUCGUAAGUUUCACUUAUAGAAAUACAAUAUAGGUUCAAGUACAAAUAUAUGUCUCGAUUAAUCUAGAAAGAACUAGACAAAAUCCACACAUGAUAAACGCAUAUAAUGAGUGUGAGACUCACACAUCACAAUUGAGAAUAAUAUUAUAGAACCAAAAUACUCAACAACCCAAAACCUUUGCGUUAACCAAGAAGCUAAGACCCUAUCAGAGGGAGAAUUUUAUAUCUACAACACUUAUUAAAUUUCAUUAGCUUAAUAAUAUAUAUUCAAAUAUUUAACAUUGUAACCAUGCUUCUUUUCAUAUAGUAAUUGCAUUUGUUAUUCUACCCAACUUAUGAAAAAUCUCAAAUAUAUAUUUUCAUUUUAUUACUUAAAUUAUUAUUACUUACUUUAAUAUUUAAAUUAUCAUUAUAUUACAUGAUUUGUUCCAAAUAUUUAACAUUGUAACGAUGCUUCUUUAAAUAUAGUAAUUGCAUUUGUUAUUCUACCUAACUCAUGAAAAAUCUCAAAUUUGCAACAUGUUAUUCACAUGCCAACCAACCAAUUUAUUAUUCACAUUCCAACUUUCUAAAUGCAUCAAAUAUUUCAUAUUCAUGUACUAACAAAGAUCAUGCCAAGAACCCACAUGCAGAGUCAUUAUAUACCACAUUUAACUCAACAAGACUUUUACACAACCAAAGAUUACUCCAAACGUUUAUAUGCAUGUCGCAAUCCUUGACUCAAAUGAUAAAAAAAACACCAAAUUGACAAUAAAAUAGUGUAAGCUUUGAACGAUCCAAUCGACAUGUUCCACAAUGUAACACCUAAAAGGAAAAAGAAAACAAUGGGGUAAGCAUAUAAGAUGCUUAGUAAACUCAUAUGUAAUCUAAAACUUACCUAGAUUAAUUGAACAUAAACAAUUACUCAAUAAGCUAUCAAAUUUAUUUUUCCAUGGCACGUAGAUAUCGUAUAUGUAACAACAUUUCAAGUCGAAAAUGUUAAAUACAAUGUUGAAUCAUUAUGUCUUCUUUUCUUAAGUUUCACUUAUAGAAAUACAAUAUAGGUUCAAGUACAAAUAUAUGUCUCGAUUAAUCUAGAAAGAACUAGACAAAAUUCACAUAUGAUAUAGGCAUAUAAUGAGUGUGAGACUCACACAUCACAAUUGAGAAUAAUGUUAUAGAAAACCUUUGCGUUAAGCAAGAAGCUAAGACCCUAUCGGAGGGAGAAUUUUAUAUCUACAACACUUCUUAAAUUUCAUUAGCUUAAUAAUAGCUAUUCAAAUAUUUAACAUUGUAACCAUGCUUCUUUUCAUAUAGUAAUUGCAUUUGUUAUUCUACCCAACUUAUGAAAAAUCUCAAAUUUGCAAUUUAUUAUUCACAUGCCAAACAACCAAUUUAUUAUUCCAACCAACCAAUUUAUUAUUCACGUGCCAACCAAUUUGUUUUAUCGAAGUUAUUAUACUUAUAAGCUUUCACAUAUAACCAUGCUUCUUUACAUAUAUUAAUUGCAUUUAUUGUUGUACCUCAUGAAAAUUUUCAAAUUUGCAACAACAUAUUAUUCGCAUGCCAACCAACCACUUUUUUUUAUUGAAGUUAUUAUACUUAUAAGCAUUCACAUUUAACCAUGCUUCUUGUAACACUUUUCAUUGGAUCCAAUCGUUGGGUCCGAUCUACAAGACGCUAUAGUCAUUGUCAAAGCAACUACAGUCGAAAUUACGAUAAGAUAAUUUUCAUUUAAACAUUAAGCAAGAUUCAACUACAGUAAUACAUUAAUUAUGAGUUUUAAUCGAGCUUACAAAAGCUUUUUUGGUAGUUCGAACAAGAAUUAGGACCAAACUAUAAAGAUUUGAAAAGUUUGGAGCGACGUCACAACUUCAGCUUUUCCUCAUCGCAACAUGACCAUCUCAGUAUGUCACAUCAUAUCGAAAAGCCUAUGCUCGUCGUGGCGAGACUCUUUGACUUGGCAAUGUCGCAAUGUCAAAAUUUGUAGCCGUUAUGUAAACCCUAUAUUUGACAAAAAUAUACAAUUUGGUACCUAAAUCAAAGCUCCAACUAAAAUCAUGCAAGAAAAAUACAUUACAUGCCAUUUCUAAAUGACUUAAAACUUACCUAAAACAUGCUAAGUAAGUUCAAACAUAUCAUUUCAAUUCCAUAGAAAUUCAUAAAACUUACCUAAAACAUGCUAAGUAAGUUCAAACAUAUCAUUUCAAUUCCAUAGCAAUUCAUAUUACCAUUUCAUCCAUUGUAUUCAACUUUUCAAUAACUUUAACUAAAUAUCAACAAGUUAUACAAACAUCUACCAUUACCUUUAUCAUGCCAUAAUGAAUCAUUUCAUUUCAAACAAUCAUCACAUUAGUUCUUUAAUUUUUCUUUUUUAGUCAACAUAUGCAAACCAACUUAAAUAGAUCACAUUCCAACUUUCCAAAUGCAUCAAAUAUUUCAUAUUCAUGUACUAACAAAGAUCAUGCCAAGAACCCACAUGCAAAGUCAUUAUAUACCAAAUUUAACUCAACAAGACUUUUACACAACCAAAGAUUACUCCAAAUGUUUAUAUGCAUGUCGCAAUCCUUGACUCAAAUGAUAAAAAAAAACUACCAAUUUGACGAUAAAAUAGUUUAAGCUUAAAACGAUCCAACUGACGUGUUUUUUUUUUUGCUCAAUCAAGAUAUUAUAGCUUUCAGCAUUUGUAGAAAUGCUAGCAUUCUACAAAUACAAGAUAACCCUUUCCCAAGAUCAGCAAACCGAGCACAAUCAAGUUGAGCCGACGUGUUCUGCAAGGUAACAACCUAAAAGAAAAAAAGAAACAACGGGAUACGCAUAUGAUAUGUUUAGUAAGCUCAUAUGGAAACUAAAACUUACCUAGAUCAAUUGAACAUAAAAAAUUACUCAAUAAGCUAUUGAAUUAAUUUUUCCUUGGCACUUAUAUACAUAUAGUACAUGUAACAACAUUUCUGUUAAAGAAAAGUAAUUUGACUUUUUUUCUGAAAAGUUAAUGGCUAAAUUUAGCUCAAAUAAAAAAGAAAAAACAAAAGCCAAUUUGGCAGAAAAUAUAAAUAUUGAGGAUAAAAUUUAUCAUUAUGUCUUUUUUUUUUAAGUAAUUAUUUGUGGUGGGCCAUCAUGUUUGACAAUGAUUUUUAAAUACUGUGUUAAUUGUAUAUAGCACAUCAUGUUUGACAAUAAUUUUUAAAGACUUUUAAACAUCGCGUUAAUUGUUUAUGGCCCAUUGCCCAUAUUGCUUUUAUUAAAUUUUGGGUAAACUUCAAGUUAAUCAUUUAAUUUUUAUAAAAUUUCACUUUGGUGAAAAAAAAAUUGUAUGGGAUGGGAGUCUCAGGAUAAAACAAAAAUUAGGAUAAAUGUAAUGCUGAAAUGAAUAUACUGGGAAUCUUUAAUGUUUAUGGCCAAACCCCACCUCUCCUAUCCUAUACUUCAUCUAUAAUAAUGGUUCUUGGCUUCUUCUAUUCUAUACCUCAAUUAUUUGGAUUAGAUUGAAAAACAAUUGACACUUGAUUUGAUUGUGAAAGAAGUUUUAGUUUAAUGAUAUGAUUGAGUUAAAAUUUAAAUUUAUAAUAUUUAACUUGAGUGUGAGUGAAUUUUUGACUUAAUUCAAAAUUUAAAAUAAUAAGUUCGAGUUUUAUUUAAUUAUGUGUGUAUAUCAUGUAUAAAUUUUAUUUAAAUUUAUUUUGAUUUAAUUCUCAUACUAUAUAUUCUUAAUUAAAUUCGGAAUAUAUUUUAAUUAUCAAUUUAAUUAUACAUUAUAACGAUGGAUUUGGAUAACAAAAUUCAGUUUACAAAAAGACAAAGUAAAGAACACUUACUUCGGUUGAUGUAUGGUAUAAUAAGUCUGCAAAGCACUAAGAGUAAGUGCAGCAAGGGCACCCAAAAAUGCCAAAAACGUCCAAGGCCUCCUAAAAUAAGUAUGAUAACCUUGAGCUGCAUGAUUAAUCCACAUAGUCUUACAAUGAUUAUGUAUUUUCUCUUUAACCCCACUGUAAAUCAUCUGACUAGGAACUAAAUCAGUGUUCAUCUUAUUGAAAAGUUUAGCCACCACUUCAUCACUCCCCAAUCUAUUGUAUAGUAUACCGGCGUCUCUUAGGUCUUUAACAUCUUCGGCUUCAUCGAUCAAUAAAUCAAGGAAACACAUAUAAGAAGUGACGGUGAAAUCGUUGUCGAAAUCCGGACACAUUUCGUAAGCUAUUAAGUUCAUGGUUGAAUCAUCAACGGUGAUUGGCGAUAACCGUAAUUUUCCAAAGAAGAUAUGGUUGAAACUGAUGUCGGUUAAACAACUUGUUUUGCUGCCUUUUAACAGUAUCCCGGCCUUUUUAAGCUCUUUUACGUUACCAAUGGUGUGUGAAUGGUGCCGUUUUGUUCUUGCUUCGUUGCUAGAUCCGUGUUCAGUGAUUGACCACAAACGGCACCACCACGGUUUUCCUUUUCCUACAAGGAGUCUUACUCGUAGUACAUUCAAUAAGUGAAUUCGCUCUCCUUGGUGCAGCUCCCACCACCAUUCACUACACCAAAAUCUGUGUUAGUCGGAAGCCAAGUUAUAAUUUAUCUUUUCAUUUUUUUCUUUUUGUUUGGAUUUGCAAUUGUUAAUUUUCAUGAAGCUAAAAUUAAUAUUUUCAAAAUAGAUAAUUCAACGAUUAAGUUAUUGAUUUAUAAAUUUCAAUUUAUUUGAUUUAAUUAAAUAAAUUAUUAAAAAUUUCGAUUCAAUAACACGGUUUAAAUAAAAAUUUUUACUCUAUUCAUAUAAAUUUUUAAAUCGGCCCGUCUAAUGACUUUCUCCUAAUUGAUGUCUCAAUUAAUUUUCAAUCCAAAUCGAUAUUAGCUAAAAUACAAUUUUUUAUUAUUGUAUUAAUGCAAAAAUCUUACCAUUUUUAAGAUAUUAAACUUUUCCAUUUUGGAAAGUUGGAUUUGAAAUCAUAAUUUUUCAUUUCUAAAUAAUGUACACUCAACAGGAUAAAUGCAAACCGACAGGCAGGGGUCGUUCCCAAGAAAUAAAAAUUUACACUUUAAUCCCUUUAAAAAUUAUUAAAUUAUAAUAAGUCAUCAAAUUAAAAAGAAAAAAAUUUAAGGAUCAGACUAUACUUGUUAAUCAGGUUAGUUAGAUAAAAAAUCGAGUAAAAUUAGAAUUAGACUAAUUGAAUCAAAGAAUCGAAUCACUUUUUUUAUAUUUUUAAUAAUUUCAAAAAAUUAUAUAAUUAAACUGAAUCAACUUAUAAUCCAGAAAAGAGAGUCUAAUAUUUUUAAUAAUUUCAAAGAUUCCAUCACCCAUCUAGUUAUAAAAACCUUUUAACAUUUAUAAACUCCACAAAAAUGAUUCUUUAAUUCCGUAAAUUGGCACAAGAUGCGCCCCAUGGAGGUCUAUCGAUUAGAUGGGGGACAUUUAGCCCACAAGAACUGGCCUGAUUCGGAGAGCUACUAAAGAAGCCUAUCAGAUUAAAGCCUGGUUGGCCCAAUGAUGAAGACAUGACAACUUAGGCAAUUUUGGUAACUAAUCUUAGAAGAUAGAAUAGAAUCAUAUCUUGUAAGAUUAGAUUAGAUUUGAUAUGGCAAAUCUUGUAAAUCCCUAAAAUCAAGGGAUAUAGUGAAUCUCAUCCGUCGAUGUACAUGUAUCUUGAUCGUCGGUUCUGGGGGAGCUCAACUAUAAAUAGAGAGCCUCCCCCUCACUUGUAAAUCAUCCAUUGUAGCUUGAAUUCUUAAGAGUAAUAGAAUUCUUGAGCAUUUACUCAAACACUUUGUGAGCUUUCUUUCUUUAGCUUUCUGUUGUUCUCUUGUGGCUUCUUUUGGCACAAUCGCUUCCGCUAUACAAAUUGGUGCCUUGGAGGAGUUCUAAAAGAAUCCUCUCUUUUGGGAGUUAAGGCUGACUUGGGCAAGUUUGGAUGAACGGAUCGCCUAAGGCCGUACGGAUUGCGAGACGAAAGGUCUAGCCCCGUGACAAGUGGUAUCCGAGCCAAGUUUUGAACCAAGUUAUAUUCGAGUGGUUCGAAGGCACUGUUGGGAUGUCGAAAGAAGUCGUCGGUCAGAGUGAACCAAUGGAGACCCGUGGGAGGGCUAGAAAAGCCAAUCACUCGAGGGAAAUGCUGACAGCUUUGGAGAACCGAGUGGUCAAUCUCGAGGAAUCCGUAGGAAAUGUGAAAGAGACGCUUGAAUUGGUCGAGGGACGCACAGAUGGGUUGGACUCAAUGGAGGAGCAACUCAGAGAUUUUGUGUUGGAUUCUCUUGGUGCAAAUAGGGAAAAGAUAACGGAAUUACUCGAGUCCACUGAGGUAAAGCUAGCAGAGAGGGAUGAAGCUCUCGAGGAUAUGGUGCUAGCCAUGCAAAAAGAAAUGGAGGAGCUUAAGGGGGAGCUCACGAUCUACAAAGCCGCUUUGAGUAAUGGGAUGUUGUCUUCAAGGCCGAAGCAACAAGCAAUGGAUGUGAAUCAAAAUUGGGAUGCUGAUGAUGAUCGUGGAAGGACACAGGAACGACAUCCUCGUGAUAAAUUUAAGGGUAGAUUGAAGUCUUCAAAUAGAGGUAAAACUUGUAACUUCUGCAAAAAGAAAAGACACGUUAAAUCUGAGUACUAUAAGCUACAUAACAAUAUCAAAAGGGGGGCUGUGAAUCAAAAUGGAAAACAACUAGAAAAUUUUGGUAAAGUUGAUGUUGUAGAAAACUACAACGAUGGUGAACUUCUAGUUGCUUCUGCCAACAAUUCUAAAGUUAGCGAGGAGUGGAUCCUUGAUUCGGGCUGCACCUUCCACAUAAGUCCCAAUUGGGAUUGGUUUACAACUUACAAAACAGUGUUUGAAGGUGUUGUUUUAAUGGGAAAUAAUACUUUAUGUUGAAUCAUAGGUGUUGGAAGAAUUAAAGUUAAGAUGUUUGAUGGAGUUGUCAGAACACUUAGUGACGUACGACAUGUUCCAAAAUUUAAGAGAAAUUUAAUUUCGUUGAGUACUCUUGACUCAAAAGGGUACAAAUAUACAGCUAGAAGUGGGGUUUUGAAGAUUUCCACAGGUUCCCUCGUUGUGAUGAAUGGGUAGAGAAAGACUACCAAGUUAUAUGUUUUGCAGGGUUUUACUGUUACUGGUGAUGCAACUGUCGCAUCCUCUUCUUUGUCAAAUGAUGAUAUUACUAAACUAUGGCAUAUGUACCUAGGGCAUAUGAGUAAGAAUGACAUGGUAGAAUUGAGCAAAAGAGGACUUCUUAAUGGGCAAGGAAUUUGCAAACUGAAAUUCUGUGAGCACUGCAUUUUUUGGAAGCAAAAGAGAGUUCGAUUCACUAGAGGAAUCCAUAACAUGAAAGGAAUGUUAGAGUAUAUUCAUUUUGAUUUUUGGGGGCCAUCUAGAGUGCAUUCGAGAGGUGGAGCUAAUUAUAUGCUAACUUUUAUUGAUGAUUUUUCCAGAAAAGUGUGGGUGUUCUACCUGAAGCAGAAAAGCGAUGUGUUUUUCACUUUUGAGUCUUGGAAAACUAUAAUUGAAAAACAGACGAGAAAACAAAUAAAAUACCUCCGCACAGAUAAUGGCUUAGAGUUCUAAUCUGAUGAGUUUAAUAAACUGUGUAAGUCAGAAGGGAUAGUGAGACACUUGACAGUUCGUCAUACUCCACAGUAAAAUGGUGUUGCAAAAUGAAUGAACAAAACUAUCAUGGAGAAGGUUCGAUAUAUGUUGUCAAAUGCCAACUUACCAAAGUCAUUUUGGGCCGAAGCAGCCUCUACUACAUGUUUUUUAAUCAACUGAUCUCCAUCUGUUGCCAUUAAGAAAAAGACUCCACAAUAGGUAUGGUUUGGUAUUCUUGCUAACUAUUCUGAUUUAAAGAUUUUUAGGUGUCCUGCAUAUGCUCAUGUUGAUAAUGGAAAAUUGGAAUCGAGAUUCAUUAAAUGUAUUUUUCUUGGUUAUAAAGCUGGUGUAAAAAGGUAUAAGUUAUGGUGUCCUGAAAAUAGAAAAGUUGUGAUUAGCAAAGAUGUUGUUUUUGAUGAAACUGCUAUGCUACCUAACUUAUCUCUUAAAGACUCUUCCAAUAAAAAAAAAUCAAAAGCAGGUGGAGCAUCAGAUUAAUCCAGAACCCACAACAGAGUCAACUCCUCAAGCCAGUACAAAAAUUCAAAAUAGAGUUGCUUCUUCACCAUAAUACUCAAUCGCCAAAAACAAAACUAGAAGAGAAAUUAAACCUUCAAAGAAGUAUGCCGAGGCUGAUUUAGUUGCUUAUGCUUUAAAUGUGGCUGAAGAUAUAGAUGCAAACUAAGAGCCAUCUAAUUAUUCUGAUGCUUAUGCUUUAAAUGUGACUGAAGAUAUAGAUGCUUUAAAUUUCGGGAGUGGACUUCACAGAUAUGUUUUCUCCAGUUGUGAAGUAUAGGUCUAUUCGAGCUUUUGUUGGUAUUGUGGCAAUGCAUGAUUUGGAGUUUUUACGUGUAAAAACUGCUAAUUUAUUUUCGUCCCCAAAACAUUUUUGGCUUAUACCUUGAAUGUGGAUCAAAAAAGAAAGUCUAGAGACUGAUAAGUGCUAAAAGUAACAUGUUUUAAUCUCAUUUUUAGUGUGUUUUUGGAUAAUUAUUCGAUUUAAAAUGGUGAAAUUUAUGCUCCUAAUCCUUUAAUUUAUGUUUCUAUACUUAGGAAAGGAUUUGGGAGCAAAAGGAACGAAAAUCGAAAAAUUGGAGCAAGUUUCAAGAGACAACUGGUUGGGCCAUUCUACAUGGCCAGGACACACGGCCGUGUGAGCUACACAGGCUUCCACACAGCCAAAUGCCAGACCAUGUGCAAAUCACAAAUCGCACUCCAAACCUACAGGAAAGCACAUUUUUUUAGGUAAGCAUAUUUUAUAGGUUUUUCAGGCAUUCUAAGACUUAUAUAUGAAAAAAAUAAGAAGAUGGGAGGGAACCGCCAUAGAAUAUUGAAGAAACAAAACUCAAAAAACACCAUUAAAGCUGACUCUGAAGCAGAUUUUCAUCAAGAUUGAAGAUCUCCUUUUGAUUUCUUUGAAGUUUAUUAUGAGUUCCUUUAUUUCUUGUGGUUAUCCUGUUUUUAGGAUGUUUUUAUUUGCUAUCAUGAACUAAUUUUCUAAAUACCUAUAGAGAUGAACCCUAGGAUGGAUUCUGUUAUUUGAUUUCUAUUUUUAUGCAAUAAAUACUUGAAUCUUGUUCUAAAUUUUGAGUGUUUAACUAUUGGUUUAAUAUUUCUAGGCUACUAGUCCAUGUUUGAUGUGCUUAAAUCAGAGGAUGGAUAGACCUAUUUAAGAGUAGAUCUAGCGUAAUUGAGUGAAGUUGCAUACAAUCUUAGAAAUAGGAUGGCAUAAAUAUACCAUAUUAGAGUCAAAUCUAAUAGGGGGAUCCAUAGAUCGAAUUAAUGUGAUAAUAGGAGUUUUAAUUAAAAAGAAAUUUCAAUUAAUCAGCCUAGAGUCAGUUGCUCUUAGUCUUGAAGAGAGAUAUUAUAAUAUUUAGGGAUUUCUAUGGAUCAAGCUACUAGUACUUUUACUAUGAAUCUCUUAGAAAAGAGUUGAAUUAAUAUUUUUUAACAAAAUAGUGACUGAAAUAUUAAAUUUUAAACAUGAUAACUCAUAUGACAAUCUACGUGUAUAUGUUUUCUUAUUUUAAAAUUAUUUGUUGACGUGGUAUAUAAGAAAAGUCAUGUUAUGUUAGCAUGAAAUGCACAUGGAUUGUCACACGAGUUGUAACACGAGCACUGUUAAAAAUUUAAUGUUUUAGUCAAUAUUUAUGUUAAAGAAAAGUAAGUUGACUAUUUUUUGAAAGGUUAAUGGCUAAAUUUAACUCAAAAUAAUAAUAAUAAAGAAUAGAGACUAAUUUCACAAAAAAUGUAAAUGUCAAAGGCUAAAUUUAAAAUUCUUAAAUGAUGACAUGACAUAAUCUCAAAGUGUCACGCUAUCACUCUUUGAUAGAAUUCAAGUUCAUGGACUAAAUCAAAAAAAAAUUGUUAAGUUCUGUUAUUAACCAUUUCUUUGUUCUUCAUUUUUUUCCUUUUGCUUUUUAGGUUCCAUAAUAAAAAAAUGGAUGGGAAAUUUCUAAAAUCAUUAGAAACAAGAAAAUAUGAUCUCAAAUCCAAUAAAUUACCCAAUCAAGUUACAGAGACUUAGGACCUGGCUAUGGGUGAAUUCAUCCCCUACAUUUUAGUAGGCACAGGUGGAUUUCAAGAACACAAAUAAUUAAAUUGGCUAAAUUUAUUCAUAUCCACCAAAUUAUUGGAAUUUUCAAAUAUAUUCAAAAAAUUAGAAGAGACAUUGGAUGAAACCACAAACAAAAUCAAAUUGAAAGAAAAGCAAAAUGACAUGGAAGGAGUAAAAGAAAAUAUGACUAAAUUGCCUGAAAAAUUAGCACGUAUGUUAAGCAACAUUAAUGAUAAAACACAUAGGAUACAACAACUACAUAUUUUUCACAUGCCAACCAACCAAUUUAUUUUUGUCCUUUUUGGUGUAAUUAAGGUAAAAUGAAUUUAAUUAUCUUUCAUAGAGUAAAUAAUCUUACCAACCAACCAACAACCAAUUUAUUAUUCACAUGCCAACCAACCUAUCUAUUUUUGUCCUUUUUGGUGUAAUUAAGGUAAAAUAAUCAGAUCCUAAGAGAUUGUUUGCAAGUCAAGUUAAACAAAAUAUAUCUUCUUUCUAGAAGAUUUAGUAUUUAUGAGUAUAAUAUAUUUAGCAUUUAUUAGCAUAAUAUAUUUGACUUUGAUUAGAAUUAGAUUUUUUUCAACCUAUAAAAGAUAUAAUCGAAACUCCUCUUGAAAUCAUUCGAAUUCGACAUAGUGAAUUUUCUUUUCCUCUGCCGGUGGUUUUUUACCCGAACGGGUUUCGACGUAAAAAUUUGUGUGCUUUUUAUUUUAUUUUUCUUUUCUUUGUGAUAUAUUAUCAUUGCUGACGUUCUAUUUUUUACAAAUUGGUAUCCGAGCUUCCAGGUUGUUCAUCUCAAUCAUGGUAAUGGCGUCUUUAAAGUUUGAAAUUUCACUGUUGGAUCGCAACACUAGAUUUGUGUUGUGGCAGAUAAAGAUGCAAGUAGUUCUUGCACAGAUGGACUUAGAGGAAGCCUUGCUGUGGUAGAUAAGAUGCCUUCAACAUUGACGGUGGAAGAGAAGAAGCGCAAGGAUCGAAAGGCGUUAACACAGUUACAUCUGCAUUUGUCUAACGAAAUUUUACAGGAUGUGAUAAAUGAGAAGACCGCCGCUGGAUUAUGGAAGAGGUUGGAACAAAUAUGUAUGUCGAAAACUCUAACUAGCAAGCUGCAUAUGGAGCAGCGUCUUUAUGCUCAUUGUUUGGAGGAAGGUGUAUCUGUGCAUGAACACUUAACAGUGUUUAAAGAAAUUCUCUCAAGCUUGGAGGCCAUGGAGAUUUAGUAUGAUAGGGAAGAUCUAAGGUUGAUUCUACUUUAUUCGUUGACCCCGUCUUAUUCAACCUUUAGAGAUAUGAUUUUAUAUAACCGCUAGUCUCUCACAGUUGAUAAGGUUUAUGAUUCUUUAACCUCGUAUCAUAAGAUUAAGUAUCUUGUUGUUAAAAUCAACUCUUAGGGAGAGGGUCUCAUGGUUCGUGAGAGACACAAUCGGGAUGUUGAUGAUGAUCGUGGAAGGACACAGGAAUGACAUCCUCGUGAUAAAUUUAAGGGUAGAUUGAAGUCUUCAAAUAGAUGUAAAACUUGUAACUUCUGCAAAAAGAAAAGACACGUUAAAUCUGAGUACUAUAAGUUACAUAACAAUAUCAAAAGGGGGGUUGUGAAUCAAAAUGGAAAACAACUAGAAAAUUUUGGUAAAGCUGAUGUUGUAGAAAACUACAACGAUGGUGAACUUCUAGUCGCUUCUGCCAACAAUUCUAAAGUUAGCGAGGAGUGGAUCCUUGAUUCGGGCUGCACCUUCCACAUAAGUCCCAAUUGGGAUUGGUUUACAACUUACGAAACAGUGUUUGAAGGUGUUGUUUUAAUGGGAAAUAAUACUUUAUGUUGAAUCAUAGGUAUUGGAAGAAUUAAAGUUAAGAUGUUUGAUGGAGUUGUCAGAACACUUAGUGACGUACGACAUGUUCCAAAAUUUAAGAGAAAUUUAAUUUCGUUGAGUACUCUUGACUCAAAAGGGUACAAAUACACAGCUAGAAGUGGGGUUUUGAAGAUUUCCACAGGUUCCCUCGUUGUGAUGAAUGGGUAGAGAAAGACUACCAAGUUAUAUGUUUUGCAGGGUUUUACUGUUACUGGUGAUGCAACUGUCGCAUCCUCUUCUUUGUCAAAUGAUGAUAUUACUAAACUAUGGCAUAUGUACCUAGGGCAUAUGAGUAAGAAUGACAUGGUAGAAUUGAGCAAAAGAGGACUUCUUGAUGGGCAAGGAAUUUGCAAACUGAAAUUCUGUGAGCACUGCAUUUUUUGGAAGCAAAAGAGAGUUCGAUUCACUAGAGGAAUCCAUAACAUGAAAAGAACGUUAGAGUAUAUUCAUUUUGAUUUGUGGGGGCCAUCUAGAGUGCCUUCGAGAGGUGGAGCUAAUUAUAUGCUAGUUUUUAUUAAUGAUUUUUCCAGAAAAGUGUGGGCGUUCUACCUGAAGCAGAAAAGCGAUGUAUUUUCGCUUUUGAGUCUUGGAAAACUAUGAUUAAAAAACAAAAGGAAAACAAAUAAAAUACCUCUGCUCAGAUAAUGGUUAGAGUUCUGCUCUGAUGAGUUUAAUAAACUGUGCAAGUCAGAAGGGAUAGUGAGACACUUGACAGUUCGUUAUACUCCACAGUAAAAUGCUGUUGCAGGAUGAAUGAACAAAACUAUCAUGGAGAAGGUUCGAUAUAUGUCGUCAAAUGCCAACUUACCAAAGUCAUUUUGGGCUGAAGCAGCCUCUACUACAUGUUUUUUAAUCAACCGAUCUCCAUCCGUUGCCAUUAAGAAAAAGACUCCACAAUAGGUAUGGUCUGGUAAUCUUGCUAACUAUUCUUAUUUAAAUAUUUUUGGGUGUCCUGUAUAUGCUCAUGUUGAUAAUGAAAAAUUGGAAUCGAGAUUCAUUAAAUUUAUUUUUCUUGGUUAUAAAGCUGGUGUAAAAAGGUAUAAGUUAUGGUGUCCUGAAAAUAGAACAGUUGUGAUUAGCAAAGAUGUUGUUUUUUUAUGAAACUGCUAUGCUACCUAACUUAUCUCUUAAAGACUCUUCCAAUAAAAAAAAUCAAAAACAGGUGGAGCAUCAGAUUAAUUUAGAAUCCACAACAAAGUCGACUCCUCAAGCCAGUACAAAAAUUCAAAAUAGAGUUGCUUCUUCACCAUAAUACUCUAUCGCCAAAAACAAAACUAGAAAAGAAAUUAAACCUCUAAAGAAGUAUGUCGAAGGCUGAUCUAGUUACUUAUUCUUUAAAUGUGACUGAAGAUAUAGAUGCAAACCAAGAGCCAUCUAAUUAUUCUGAUACGAUUAGCUUGAAGACUCAGAAAAGUGGAUGUUUGUUAUGUAAGAGGAGAUGAAAUCACUCCACAAAAAUCAAACAUUGGAUCUUAUGAAACUUUCUAAAAAUAAAAAGGUUGUUCGUUGUAAAUGGGUGUUUAAAAAGAAAGAGGGGACUCUAGGAGUUGAAGAACCCAGAUAUAAAGCAAGGCUUGUUGCAAAGGGUUAUAGUCAAAUUUCGGGAGUGGACUUCACAGAUAUGUUCUCUCCAGUUGUGAAGCAUAGGUCUAUUCGAGCUUUGCUUGGUAUUGUGGCAUUGCAUGAUUUCUUAAGCAGUUAGAUGUAAAAACUGCAUUUUUACAUGGAGAAUUUGAGGAGGAUAUUUACAUGCAACAACCAGAGGGUUUUACAAUCUCAGAAAAAGAGGACUAUGUUUGCUUGCUGAAACAGUCCAUUUACGAUUUGAAACAGUCAUCAAGACAGUGGUAAAAGAGGUUUGAUUCCUUUAUGACUUCUUAUGAUUUUAAAAGAAGUAGCUUUGAUAGUUGUGUUUACUUUAAGAAAAACAGUGAUGGUUCUUUUGUUUAUCUACUCCUUUAUGUUGAUGACAUGUUGAUAGUAGCGAAAGAUAAAUGAGAGAUAAGAAAUGUCAAAUUCUAAUUAAGUGAAGAAUUUGAGAUGAAAUAUUUGGGACUAGCAAAGAAGAUAUUUGGCAUGGAGAUUCUUAGAGAUAGAAAAGCAAGUAAAUUGUACCUAAGUCAGAAGGGGUAUAUUGAGAAAGUUCUUUGCAGAUUCAAUAUGCAGAAUACUAAGCCUGUUAGUACUCUUUUAGCAGCCCAUUUUAGAGUUUUAUCGACUUUGUCUCCACAAUCAGAUGAUGAGAUUGAGUACAUGUCACAUGUUCCAUACUCUAGUGUAAUGGGAUCUCUCAAGUAUGCUAUAGUUUGUCCACGUGUAGAUUUAUCAUAUGCAGUCAGUGCAGUUAGUAGAUACAUGGCGAAUCCCGAUAAAGAACAUUAGAAAGCAGUUCAGUGGAUUUUAAGAUACUUACGAGGUACUACUGAUAUUUGCUUAUAGUUUGGAAGAACUAGAGAUGGAGACAUUGGGUAUGUUGAUACUGAUUUUGCUGGAGACCUUGAUAGAAGAAGAUCUCUCACAGGUUAUGUAUUUACAAUCGAAGGUUGUGCAAUCAGUUGGAAAGCCACUUUGCAACCCACAGUUGCUUUGUCUACCAUUGAAGCUGAGUACAUGACGAUUACUGAUACUUGUAAAGAAGCUAUUUGGUUGAAGGGACUUUUUAGUGAACUCAAUGAAAACCUUCAAAUCAGUACAGUAUUUUGUGACAGUUAAAGUGCCAUCUUCCUUACAAAAGAUCAAAUGUUUCGUGAGAAAACAAAACACAUCGAUGUUCGGUAUUAUUUUGUUCGUGUUAUUAUUGCUCGUGUUGAAAUUGUUGUGACCACAAUUAGUACUCAUGAAAAUCCUACAGAGAUGAUGACUAAGUCAUUUCUUAUAACCAAUUUUGAGCAUUGCUUAGACUUGAUUGGUGUUCAUUGUUGAAAUUAAACCCUUAAGGGGUUUUAUGGAAGAGGUGGAGAACUUGUUCGUUGAGAGUUCGCGAUAAAGAACUUGUUCAUUGAGAAUUCGUGUCAAGGUGGAGAUUGUUAGAGUUUUGUGACCCAAAUUCUAAAAGAUUGCUUGCAAGUCAAGUUAAACAAAAUAUAUCUUCUUUCUAGAAAUUUUAGUAUUUAUGAGUAUAAUAUAUUUAGCAUUUAUUAGCAUAAUAUAUUCGACUUUGAUUAGAAUUAAGUUUUUUUCAACCUAUAAAUAGAUGUAGUUGAAACUCCUCUUGAAAUCAUUCGAAUUCGACAUAAUGAAUUUUCUUCUCCUCUGCCCAUGGUUUUUUUCCCGCAAGGGUUUCCACGUAAAAAUCUGUGUUCUUUAUUUUAUUUCUCUUUUCUUUGUGAUAUAUUGUCAUUGCCAAUGUUUUAUUUUUAACACAUAGAUUAAAUAAUCUUACCAACCAACCAAUUUAUUUUUGUCCUUUUUGGUGGGCUUUCGAGUCUACAAGACAGGUAGCAAUAGUUAUUGAGGAGCUAGUCACGUUUUAAAUAUUUUCUUCUAAGUAAGCACAACAACAUUAAGAAAUUUAUUUUUUAGAGUCUAUAUAAGGAAAAGGGCCUUAGGAUUUUCUAGUGCCACACUCACUUCAACAACAGACACUUCAAAUUUUCAAGCAUACAACAGCAGCAGCAGCCAGCGAACUAAUCAAUUGUUUUUAAGUACUAAUAUUUAGGGAUAAAGUAAUAGUUAAUUAUCUGAAUAUUUUAUAAUAGGGACGAAGUUAUAAAAGAAGUUGAAUUAGAUAUCUUUAUACAAGUUAAAAUACAAUUUAAUCAUAUUGGUUUGUAAUUUUACAUAUUUUAAAGGGAUUAGAUCAAAAUUUUAUCAUUUUGGAGGUUGAGAUGAAAUUUUACCGUGUAUUAACAUGUAAAAUUAUAACUUUUAAAGGCACCCAAAACAUAAAUUUCCAUUUUAGGUGGCCGAAGCCUUGGUUAUUUAUCUACUUUGAUCUUUGAACUUCUUUUUGUCUAAAUUAAUUCGAAAAUUUGAUAGUUUUUCCUAGUUUAGUCCUUGAACCUUGGGUUAUGCUACAUCAUCACUUGUAUUUUUUAUUAAAAAUAAUAAUAAUUUCUUUUUCAUUCUUUUUAGAUUUUAUUUAAGUUUUUUAAAAUUUUCAAAUGAUGACGUGACAAAAUCUUAAAGUGGCAUGCUAUCGCUCUUUAACGGAAUCCAAGUCCAUGGACUAAAUAAAAAAAUUGUUAAGUUCAAAGACUAAAUAUUAUUUUAUCCCUAAUAUUAGUUACCCUGUUUUAGAAGUUGAUUGAAUUUCUUGCUUGCUUACUUUUGUUAUUAACCGUUGCUUUGUUCUUCUUCUUCUUCUUCUUUUUAAUUUUAGGUCCCGUAAUUGAAAAAAGAUGCAUGAGAAAUUUCUAAAAUCAUUAGAAACAAGAAAAUAUGAUCUCAAAUCCAGUGAUUUACCCAUAUCAAGUUACAGAGACUUGGGCCCCGGCUAUGGUGAAUUCAUCCCCUACAUUUUAGCAGGCCAAGGUGGACUUCAAGAACACAAACAAUUAAAUUGGCUAAAUUUAUUCGUAUCCGCCAACUUAUUAGAAUUUUCAAAUAUAUUCAAAAAAUUAGGAGAAACAUUGGAUGAAACCACGACGGAAAUCACAAACAGGAUCAAAUUGAAAGAGAAGGAAAAUGACAUGGAAGGGAUAAAUGAAGAGAUGGCUAAAUUGCCUAAAAAUUUAGCACGUGUGUUAAGCAACAUUGAUGAUAAACCAUAUAGGAUACAACAUAUGGAGUGUAGCUUGGAAAAGAACAUGUAUAAGAUCAAUAAGGAUCAAAUUAAAAUUAUGAAAGAAUUGAGGGACUUGAAAAGGGAAAUAAAAGAGUUAAAGGAGGAUGUGAAAGAAGUUAAAAUAAAAAUUGAAAUUUUUAAAAAUUUCAAAAGUUUUCUUUGAUUUCUUAAAAUUUUUUAUUAAAUCUCUUAAAUUUUAUUUUCAAAAAAAAGAAUUUCAUUAAACACCAAAAAUGAAAUAGAUUGAAUCCAACAUCCAUGAGUUACAAAAUUAUCAUAUAUAACAAGAGCUUACAAAAAGACUAGUGUUACGGAAAAUGGCUUACGGAAAAUGACUUACUUUUCUGAAAAAGCUAAUAUUUUCUAGUGUUUGGAUAAAUCUGUGUAAAAUAUUUUCUUUUGUUUGGAGGUUCUUUAAAAAUAUUUUAUAAAAGUCAUUUUCAAUUAAACAAACAUACAUUUGAGAUUUUUUUUAUUUUUUUAUUUUUUCAUUGUUUAAUUGAGUUUAUUUUAUACCUAUAAUUUUAUAUUGUACAUUGUUUUUACAUAUAUUAAAAAUAUUUUGUUAAAUUUAGGUUCAUUGCAACAAUCAUUUUUUAGUUACAUGACUACCAAUUGAGUUUUUUUGUUUAAAAAUGUUACAUUAACAAAAUUGAUAAAAAAAUUAACAAUGUCAGCAGUUGGACUUGAUUUUCAAAUCUAGAAAGGAGAGGGACUAAAUUCUUGAAAAUAAAAGUACAGAAACUAAAUUGCAAAUUUGUGAAGAGUAUAUAAACUUAUGAUAUAUCUUAACAUUUAUACUACAAAACAAUUAUUAUUAAUAUAUUUAUAAUUGUAAUAAAUAUUUAGUAUUAAAGUAUUAAUAUUGAUAUUUUCAAUAAUAUGUGAAUAAUAUUAUUUAAAAUUACUAUUAAAAUAAAAUUUAAAUAUUAAAUAAUUUAUUAAAAAUAAUAAAUUAUAUUAAUAAUUUAUUAUAUGACUAAAUAUAAAUAAUUAAAUACGUAUUUUAAUAAUAUUAAAAAAUAUAAUAUUUUAUAUUAAUAUUUUAAAUAUUUUAAAAAUAAAAAUAAAAUUUAUUAUCAAUAUAAUAAUAUUAAACUUGAUUUAAGUUAAUUUUUAUAUAAAAGUAAAAUUAUCUAUUGAGGAGCUCUUUUCCGGAAAAUGACUUACGCUUUUCAAGAGGAUAAGUAAUUUUACAAGGAAAAAGGCUUAUUUCCAUUGACCUGUAAGUUAUUUUCCGUUGACCAAGCUGUUUUCUGUGAAACAAACACAGGAAAAUGCAGAAAAUAUUUUCCGUAAAACCUUUUACAUGUAAACAAAUGGACCCUUACUUUGGUUGAUGUAUGGUAUAAUAAGUCUGCAAAGCACCAAGCAAAAGUGCAGUAAUGGCACCCACAAAUGCCAAAAACGUCCGAGGACUCCUAAAUUAAGUAUGAUAACCUUGAGCUGCAUGAUUAAUCCACGUAGUCUUACAAUGAUUAUGUAUUUGCCCUUUAACCCUACUGUAAAUCAUCGGACCAGGAACCAAAUCAGUGUUCAUCAUGUAAAUGAUAUAAUGUCCAAAUUGUCUAGUGUUACUUCACAUGGUUGAUUUCAUUUGUGAAUUAAUGAUUGUGGAUUGACAACAUUGACUAUUCUAUGCACGGGGAGUGUAACACCUCAAACCCGGCCUAGACGUUAUGGUCGAAUCCUGGAGUGUUACAAAGAAGGGUUUUGAAAUCAGUGUUACUUCGAUAAAACUUUGUAUAGUCGUUCGAUAAAUCAUCCAAGUUUUAUAAUCCAUAUUCGUUUAUAUAACUAUUACUGAAAGCGUUAUACAAUUAAUUCAUUUGCCAAAACAUAAUUUACAGCGGAAGUCAUUUUCAUAAAUCGUUUUGACAAACCAAACAGGAUAGAAAACAAUCGAAACCAAAACCAACAGUUAAAAUCAUACAGUCCAGAGAGUCCCAAAAAUGACAAACUCUCAAAUAAAUUCAUAAUUUUAAUUAAAACCGUUAGUUAUUAAGUAAAAAUAGUUCUCAAUCGAGUGGUCAUCGCUGAGCCUCUGUCGUACUGACCUGCCGAAGUUUGUGGAUUACCUGAACAGAAUAGACAAAAAGAUGUGAGUUUUCAUAAACUUGGUGUGUAACCCAACAAAAAUAGUCAUGCAGCAUACACAGAAUCUCAUAUACAGUCAGAUACAGAUUCGGACCUAUGUCCAUGACAGAUACAGAUAGCAGAAUCAGAUAAGAAGAAUCAUACCCCCAUCCUCUACACACCAUCUCCGACUAUCCCAUCACACCAUGUGGGGUUAAAAACACCCACCCAACCCUACACACCAUAUAGAGUCAAUGCGACGCAUAACAGAUAAUAUGCAAUCAAUCUGCUAGAAUAAAGGCAAAGAAUCGCCAUACAAAUCACUUCCUCCACAUAUACAAUUCCCACCCCAAACACAGAUACAGAAUACAGAUGCAAAAAUAUCAGAGUAAACAUGCUUAACAUGCUCGUAUACAAAUGGAUACAUACUUAAACAGUACAGUCCGACAUACAUAUAGUAUCCUAAUCAAAUUAGUCUAUCAGAAUAUCAUAGCACAUAAAUUAGGGUUUUGGUUAGCCCUUACUGACCCUACGGCAGGUCCACAGUCGAUCGGAAUGACACCUGUGACCCUAGGGAAUAUUUCAGAAUUAUGGGCCCACAUGCCUAUAUGGGCCCACACGUCCAGAUUGGCCUUACCUGCAUGGGAACAUUAGAAGGUUCAAAAUACAAUUUUAUUAUUAUAUUAAUUUAUAAUUUCAUAAAUUUUAAAAGGAUUAAAUGAUAAAUUUACUAAUUUAAAAAGACAAUAGGGAUGGUAAAAUCUAAUUGAACCUAUCUGCGUUCGGAUCGGGAUGGAUUUUUUUUAAUUUAAAAAAUUAAAUAGAUUGAAUCGAAAAUCUAGGAGUUACAAAAUUCUCAUAAAUAACAAGAGUUUACAAAAAGAACACUUACUUGGUUGAUGUAUGGUAUAAUAAGCUUGCAAUCCACAUAUACAAUUCCCACCCCAAACAUGAAUAUAGAAUACAGAUGCGGGAAUAUCAGAGUAAACAUGCUUAAAAUGCUCGUAUACAGAUGGAUACAUACUUAAAUAGUGCAAUCAAACAUACAUAGGUCCACAAUCUAUUAGAAUAUCAUAGCACAUGGGUCCACAUGCCCGUGUGGGCCCACACGCCCAGAUUGGCGUUGCCCAUGUGGCCCACAUGGCCUGGCCCAAAACCCACACGGCCGUGUGGGCCUACAUGCCCAACUUGGCCUAGCCCGUGCGACCCACAAGGUCACACUCACACAAUCACACGACCAUGUCUUGUGCGCGGCCAUACCUUCGUCAGUCACAUGGCCGUGUCUCGCACAUGGCCAACCACAUGGCUUGGCUCACGCCCUUGUGGCAUUGACAGUGCCCUUUUUUAGCUUUUGUCGAACCUCAAUUUUUCAUGUUUAAGGUACACACAUGGUUCAUUUUAGAUGCCUAGCAAUCCUGAGCCCUCUGAAACCUAAGAAAUAGCAUCCCAUUGACCAAUUAGCAAUCAAUUUACGAAUCGACACUUAACCCGAAAUAACGCACAUAACUUACCGAAGACACGAAUUGGCACGAGCGCGAUCUAGGCUGUCGAAGUAAAAAUUCAUUGCUCACAACCUUCUCCUACACCACAAAUUUGCAGAAAUCAAACCCCCUAUCUAUGCUACUACGCUACCACGAAAAGAAAAUAAACUGAUAGCUUACCCAAAUCACAUAAAAAUGUCAAGUCCAGAGUGCAACGUGAAGAACAAAAGAUGAAAAAACAAGUUUGAAGGAAAAGAAAACGAACGAAAAAAUCAGAGAUUGAAGAGGAGAAAAAGGAAGAAAUGUAAAAGAAUAAAUAAAUAAAUAAAAAGAGUAGAAACUGACGUCAGAAUUUUUAGAGAGAGAGAACCUAAAUUUUGAAAAAUAAAAAUAAAAUAAGAUAAAAACAAUAUCACAACUCCCCCCACUCAAACCAGCAAAUUCAUUCUGAUAUAAUUAAAUUUACAAACAAUAUUCCAUAAACUUGCCUAAUAGGGAUAAGGCUAAGACCAAAAAAAUAACAGAAUUUUCAAAUGUGAGACUUGAAUACUAGACCUCAAACACAUACCGAAAACACUUAGCCACUAAAGUAAAAACAUAUUUAUAUUAGGAUUUACAGAAACAUAUUUAUAUCAAGAUUUACAGAAAUAGAAAUAAAUUAUUCAUGGCGUUACAGAUGGGUAGUACUCCUUUUUCUACCAUUUCACUACCCAUUGCAUUCAAUUUCUCUGCCCUACUACUCCUCUGCACUGCACUGUCCAAUUGCAUUUAAAGAUAAUGUAUACAUAUAGAUUGUAAAUUUUCUUGGCUGGAAGCUCACUGGAAGCCAAAAUCAAAACAAACUUUUGAUGGUUUAAUUGUUUUUUAGCCCUUGAAUUUCAGGUGCUAUGAGAAAUGAAUUACAACCUCAUCUUGUCAUUAUCCCAAAAUCAAAACAAGCAACUCUUGGUUGAAAGUUGAAACCAAGGGCCAAGUCAAAAUUGUUUUAGGACGAGUCCAAAAUGAACAAUGAUUUUGAAGGUUCAAAAUACAAUUUUAUUAUUAUAUUAAUUUAUAAUUUCAUAAAUUUUAAAAGAUUAAAUGAUAAAUUUACUAAUUUAAGAAGACAAUAGGGAUGGUAAAAUCUAAUUGAACCUAUCUGCGUUCGGAUCGGCAUGGAUUUUUUUAAUUUAAAAAAUUAAAUAGAUUGAAUCGAAAAUCUAGGAGUUACCAAAUUCUCAUAAAUAACAAGAGUUUACAAAAAGAACACUUACUUGGUUGAUGUAUGGUAUAAUAAGCCUGCAAAGCACCGAUAGAAAGUGCAGCAAUGGCACCCACAAAUGCGAAAAACGUCCAACGAGUCCUAAAACAAGUAUGAUAAACUUUAGCUGGAUAUUUACUCCACAUAUUCUCACGAUGAUUAUGUAUUUGCAGUUUAACAUGUCAUGUAAAUCAUCGGACUAGGAACCAAAUCAAUGUUCAUCUUCUUGAUAAGCUUAGCCACUUCUUUAUCACUCCCAAAUCUAUGGUAUAGUAUGCCGGCGCCUCUCAGUUCCUUAACAUCUUCGGCUUCAUCGAUCAAUGAAUCAAGGAAACCCAUAUAUGAAGUGACGGUGAAACUGUUGAAGAAAUCCGGACACAUUUCGUAAGCUAUUAAGUUCACUGUUAAAUCAUCGACGGUGAUCGGCGGUAACCAUAAAUUUCCGAGGAAGAAGAAAGGGCUGAAACUGAUGUCUGUUAAACAACUUGUUUCGCUUGCUUUUAACCUUAUCCCGGCUUUUUUAAGCUCUUUUACGUUCCUUAAGGUGUGUGAAUGGUGCCCUUCUAUUCUUGUUUGGUUGCUGCGAUUUUUCAAGUUCAUGAAAAAUCGAGUGCAAAACCUACAAUGCCGCCUUGGUUUUUCUUUUUCUUUUUUCUUUAUUGAAAGGAGUCUUACUCGUAGUAGAUGCAAUAAGUGAAUUCGCUCUCCUUGCUGCGGCCACCAUUCACUACAGCAAAAUCUGUGUUAGUCGGAAGCCAGCUAAAAUUAAGGUUUUCAACAGUUGAAUCUAUAAGAUCAUUGAUUUAUAAGUUCAAUUUAUCCGAUUUGAAUAAAAAAUUUAAUCCUUUUAAAAAUUAUUAAAUUAUAAUUUUUUAUAUAUAAUAAAAUUAUACUUUGACUCCUUAAAAAAUGAAGAAAAAAAUUGUUUAACUCUUUCGGAAAAUGAUAAAAUCAUAAAUUAAUGUAUAAAGAAAAUUUAAGAAUCAAACUAAAUUUAUCGGUGGGCCUGGUUAAACAGAGAAUCGUGCAAGGUAUUAAUCUAGAAUAAUGAGUUAGACUCAUUGAAUCGAGUGGUCGAAUAGAUUUUUUUAUAUUUUUAAUAUAUCUUUAAUAUUUUUAAAAUUUUAUAUAAUUGAAUCCAAUUAACUAAUCAACCAAAAAUAGACUCUAAUCGAUUCUAUCACCUAUUUUACAUUUAUACACUCCACAAAAUGAUUCUUUUGUACAUUCCUUAAAUUACCUGUCCUGCUGAUGUGAUUGUGGCCCUUUAACAGUGACGUCGAUGAACCUUAUGAUUGCCUUCAUGAACUUUUUGCCAUUAUUGCUCAAGCUUGUAAGCAAUUCAAGAACACGAAAAGGUAUUUGGUUCUCCAACAAUAACAGAUCCGAGUACACCAAUGUCAGCAAAUCGUUUUUAAUAACCAAUUGGCCAUAAACAGCAUAAAAAUCAUCAUUAGUACCGUAAUGCAUAUAAAUUAAUUGUAAAAUUGCGCAGCCGUCAACGAAGAACAUCCAAGCCAGUUUCUCGUUAUCGUUGCCAUACUCCUCUAAUUCCGUUGGAUCAUAGCAUUUCCUCAAGCCAUCGAUCUCUUUCUUCAUGUUUCUGUACAAGGAAUCCUUAUCGACGCCAAUGUUUUUGACGAAAUGUGCUGCUAAUUUGAGCUUGAGCUCCUUGGAUUCAUGGAGGGUGGGAUCAUCGUGGUGGAGUGGGCCGAUUGAGAUCACUUUCGGCUUGAAAUACUUCAUGAAAUCUUCGGUACGGCAAAGGGUUGAUGGUACUUUUCGUAUCAAUGGAUUGGCUGUGAAGUUGGGUUGGCCGCCGUCCAAAGCUUUGUCUAAUGACUGGAGAUUCGCUAAUUCGUCAUUGCUGAGAGGGACGUCCGUGCACCGCAUAUCAAUGCUCACGGAAUCGUUGUUGGUGUUGUUGUUGAUGGUUGUUUGAUCAGUGGAAACUGCUCCGACGGCGCCGCCUCCUUCCUCCGUGGACGACAUUUUCAGGGUGAGCGGUUGGAAGUAAUAAACAAGGUGAUUUUGUAAACUGUGCUUGGCUGAGUGAGUGAUGUUGGAGAAAAGGUGGCAAAAUGGCUACGAUGAUGGCAAAUAUUUUAUAGCUUACAUAAUAAACAUAUAUGGGAAAUACUUGAGGUGUAAUUUAAAUUUACCCCUUAGUGUUUAUAUUUUUACUAAUAUAAUUUUUAACUUUUAAUUUUUUAAUUAAAUUUAAUUUUCUUUUGAAAGAGUCAAUCUUAAAAAAGAAAAGUUAAAUUAAUGUUUUUUUAACAAAAAUAGUGACAAAUAUAAUAAUUGUCCUUAAGAAGUAAGACCCUAUGAUUGGGAGAAUUUUACAUUUUCAACACUUCUUAAAUUUCAUACACUUAAAAAUACCUCCAUGCUUCUUUACGUAUAAUAAUUGCAUUUGUUAUUCUACCUAACUCAUGAAAAAUCUCAAAUUUGCAACAAAAUAUUAUUCACAUGCCAACCAACCACUUUUUUUUUAUUGAAGUUAUUAUACUUAUAAGCUUUAUGCUUCUUGUAACAGAUUCGAUCUACAGGGCACUAUAGUUAUUGUCGGAGCAACUACAGUCAGAAUUACAAUAAGAUAAUUUUUAUUUAAACAUCAAUCAUGAUGCAAUUAAAGUAAUACAUCAAUUAUGAGCUUUAAUCGAGCUUACGAAAACUUUUUUGGCUGUCCGAGCAAGAAUUAGGACCAAACUGCAAAGUAAUUGCAUUUGUUAUUCUACCUAACUCAUGAAAUAUCUCAAAUUUGCCAACCAACCAAUAUAUCAUUCCAACCAACCAAUUUAUUAUUCACAUUCCAACUUUCUAAAUGCAUCAAAUAUUUCAUAUUCAUGUACUAACAAAGAUCAUGCCAAGAACCCACAUGCAGAGUCAUUAUAUACCACAUUUAACUCAACAAGACUUUUACACAACCAAAGAUUACUCCAAACGUUUAUAUGCAUGUCGCAAUCCUUGACUCAAAUGAUAAAAAAAAACACCAAAUUGACAAUAAAAUAGUGUAAGCUUCGAACGAUCCAAUCGACAUGUUCCACAAUGUAACACCUAAAAGGAAAAAGAAAACAAUGGGGUAAGCAUAUAAGAUGCUUAGGAAACUCAUAUGUAAUCUAAAACUUACCUAGAUUAAUUGAACAUAAACAAUUACUCAAUAAGCUAUCAAAUUUAUUUUUCCAUGGCACGUAGAUAUCGUAUAUGUAACAACAUUUCAAGUCAAAAAUGUUAAAUACAAUGUUGAAUCAUUAUGUCUUCUUUUCUUAAGUUUCACUUAUAGAAAUACAAUAUAGGUUCAAGUACAAAUAUAUGUCUCGAUUAAUCUAGAAAGAACUAGACAAAAUUCACAUAUGAUAUAGGCAUAUAAUGAGUGUGAGACUCACACAUCACAAUUGAGAAUAAUGUUAUAGAAAACCUUUGCGUUAAGCAAGAAGCUAAGACCCUAUCGGAGGGAGAAUUUUAUAUCUACAACACUUAUUAAAUUUCAUUAGCUUAAUAAUAGCUAUUCAAAUAUUUAACAUUGUAACCAUGCUUGUUUACAUAUCGUAAGCGCAUUUGUUAUUCUACCCAACUUAUGAAAAAUCUCAAAUUUGCAAUUUAUUAUUCACAUGCCAAACAACCAAUUUAUUAUUCACGUGCCAACCAAUUUGUUUUAUCGAAGUUAUUAUACUUAUAAGCUUUCACAUAUAACCAUGCUUCUUUACAUAUAUUAAUUGCAUUUAUUGUUGUACCUCAUGAAAAUUUUCAAAUUUGCAACAACAUAUUAUUCGCAUGCCAACCAACCACUUUUUUUUUAUUGAAGUUAUUAUACUUAUAAGCAUUCACAUUUAACCAUGCUUCUUGUAACACUUUUCAUUGGAUCCAAUCGUUGGGUCCGAUCUACAAGACGCUAUAGUCAUUGUCAAAGCAACUACAGUCGAAAUUACGAUAAGAUAAUUUUCAUUUAAACAUUAAGCAAGAUUCAACUACAGUAAUACAUUAAUUAUGAGUUUUAAUCGAGCUUACAAAAGCUUUUUUGGUAGUUCGAACAAGAAUUAGGACCAAACUAUAAAGAUUUGAAAAGUUUGGAGCGACGUCACAACUUCAGCUUUUCCUCAUCGCAACAUGACCAUCUCAGUAUGUCACAUCAUAUCGAAAAGCCUAUGCUCGUCGCGGCGAGACUCUUUGACUUGGCAAUGUCGCAAUGUCAAAAUUUGUAGCCGUUAUGUAAACCCUAUAUUUGACAAAAAUAUACAAUUUGGUACCUAAAUCAAAGCUCCAACUAAAAUCAUGCAAGAAAAAUACAUUACAUGCCAUUUCUAAAUGACUUAAAACUUACCUAAAACAUGCUAAGUAAGUUCAAACGUAUCAUUUCAAUUCCAUAGAAAUUCAUAAAACUUACCUAAAACAUGCUAAGUAAGUUCAAACAUAUCAUUUCAAUUCCAUAGCAAUUCAUAUUACCAUUUCAUCCAUUGUAUUCAACUUUUCAAUAACUUUAACUAAAUAUCAACAAGUUAUACAAACAUCUACCAUUACCUUUAUCAUGCCAUAAUGAAUCAUUUCAUUUCAAACAAUCAUCACAUUAGUUCUUUAAUUUUUCUUUUUUAGUCAACAUAUGCAAACCAACUUAAAUAGAUCACAUUCCAGCAUAGUCAACAAGACUUUUACACAACCAAAGAUUACUCCAAAAAUGUUUAUAUGCAUGUCACAAUCCUUCACUGAAAAUGAUAAAAAAAUCUACUAAAUUGACAAUAAAAUAGUUUAAGCUUUGAACGAUCCAACCGACGUGUUCUACAAGGUAACAACCUAAAAGAAACAAAAGAAACAACAGGAUAUACAUAUAAUAUGUUUAGUAAACUCAUAUGGAAACUAAAACUUACCUAGAUCAAUUGAACAUAAAAAAAUUACUCAAUAAGCUAUCGAAUUAAUUUUUCCUUGGCACUUAUAUACAUAUAGUACAUGUAACAACAUUUCAAGUCAAAAGUGUUAGAUACAAUGUUGAAUCAUAAUCCCGUCAACAUUUAAAACAUAAUCACAUAGCAAUCUAUAUAUCAAAUUUCAUCAAUACCAAUUCAUUUUCAAUUCAAGAUUUAAUUCCAUUUUCAACCAUUUAAUCAUCCUCUGAUGGAACUAUAGUAAAAAAGGUGCAUGGGAAUAUUUUGCUGAACUGACUCACACAAGUUGACUUUAUAUUAGAAUUGUUCACACACGUUAACUUUGUAAUUUAUAUUAUGUAAAAUUUAAGAUUUUUAUAUUAUGUAAAUCAAAGCUUAAUUAGUAUAGAAUUUUCAAAAUAAUAUGGCUGUAUAAAGAUAAAAUUCUUGAUAUAAGUCUCAACAAGGGAAAAAUUAAGGAUAGAAAAAUUGUGGUGGAAAGGGGAUCAAUUUCUCCUAAACAGGUGGAGAGCCGGAGAAUGAUAAGUGAAGGAAGAUGGUUGAUGUGAAGGCUAAGAGUAAUUGUUAAAGGUUACUAACAGGGGAAGAUCCCUUUCUCAUGAAGAUGAUUUUUAAACACCAUGUUAAUUGUUUAUGGGCCAUCAUGUUUGACGAUAAUUUUUAAAUACCUUGUUAAUUGUAUAUAGUACAUCAUGUUUGGCAAUGAUUUUUAAAGACUUUUAAACGUCACAUUAAUUGUUUAAUUGUUUAUGGCCCAUUGCCCAUGUUACUUUUAUUAAAUUUUGGGUAAACUACAAUUUAAUCACUUAAUUUUUAUAAAAUUUCAUUUUGGUCAUAAAAAAAUUGUAUGGAAUGAGAGUCUCAGGAUAAAACAAAAAUUAGGAUAAAUGUAAUGCUGAAAUGAAUAUAGUGGGAAUCUUUAAUGUUUAUGGCCAAACCCCACCUCUCCUAUCCUAUACUUCAUCUAUAAUAAUGGUUCUUGGCUUCUUCUAUCCUAUACCUCAAUUAUUUGGAUUAGAUUGAAAAACAAUUGACACUUGAUUUGAUUGUGAAAGAAGUUUUAGUUUAAUGAUAUGAAUGAGUUAAAUUUUAAAUUUAUAAUAUUUAACUUGAGUGUGAAUGAAUUUUUGACUUAAUUGAAAAUUUAAAAUUUUAGCUUCGAGUCUUAUUUAAUUAUGUGAGUAUAUCAUAUAUAAAUUUUGUUUAAAUUUAUUUUGAUUUAAUUCUCAUACUAUAUAAACUUUAUUCUUAAUUAAAUUUAGAUAUAUUCUAAUUAUCAAUUUAAUCAUAUAUUGUAACGAUGAAUUAGGAUUAUAGUUAAUUAUAUAUUGAAACAAAAUAAUGAGUUUAAGGAAUUAAAAGAUAUUAUUAUAUUUUAUAAAAAUUGAAUAGAUUAAUAAUUAAUUCGAGAUUAAAAAAUUGUCUAUCUUUAUUUCGCCCCUCAGUUUAAUUUAUUAUUUUCCCUAAUUUUAAAUCCAAAUAAUAAGGAGAAGAAAAAGAUAAAAGCAAACCUUUUUUACGGUCUGAACUAAACCCCAUGGGGUGUGGAAAAUUGCAAGUUUCCAGAAUAACGAAGUUCAGUUUUCGUCGGUGUUUCUAUGUGACUGUGUUUCUAUGGUAAGGAAUGGUGUAAAAAAGUUUACGGUUUAAGGUUUUGUUAUAUACGGAAGGAAAGCGCCUUUCAAGAUUAUUAGUAGCACUUAUUCUCGUGUUGUGUUUUGUAUUGAGUUGUACCUUUUUUUAGUGUAUGUAUUGUGGACCUGUGGUACAAGUUUAGUUCUUUUGAGUGUCUUGUGAUGUUAAGUAUGUUUUGUUGGGGCUCUUGGCUCCUAUGAUAAUAAAAUAUAUUUCAAGCAUAGUACUUUUUUUAUAUUUAAAAUUUAAUAUUAUACUUUUAUUUUAAGGUAAUCUCUCUACUACAACAAUGUUUAAUAUUAAUAUGAACUCAUGUUGCGAUUUACUAUUACCAACUAAUUGGAAUGCAACAUCUAUUUAAACUUCAACAUGAAACUAAAUUCUUCUAUAUAAACUAGAAAAAUAUCAUUAGUUCUUAAGUAAUUUCACCUCAAUCCAAUGACCAUUGUAUAGUCUCAAUUUUAUUCGGCCCAAACAAAUAAAAAGUCCAUUAACAGUCGCGGCAAGACUCUCUGACUUGGCAAUGUCGCAAUGUCAAGAUUCGUAGCCGUGAUGUGAACCCUAUAUUUGACAAAAAUAUACAAUUUGGUACCUAAUUCAAAGCUCCAACUAAAAUCAUGUAAAUGACUUAAACUUACCUAAAACAUGCAAAGUAAGUUCAAACAUAUCAUUUCAAUUCCAAAGCAAUUCAUAUUACCAUUUCAUCAAUGAAUCAUUCCAUUUCAAACAAUCAUCACAUUAGUUCUUUCAUUUUUUCCAUUUUAGUCAACAUAUGCAAACCAACUUAAAUAGAUCACAUUCCAACUUUCCAAAUACCAAGCUAAGACCCUAUCAGAGGGAGAAUGUUACAGCUACAACACUUCUUAAAUUUCAUUAGCUUAAUAAUAGCUAUUCAAAUAGUUAACAUUGUAACCAUGCUUCUUUACAUGUAGUAAUUGCAUUUGUUAUUCUACCUAGCUUAUGAAAAAUCUCAAAUUUGCAAUUUAUUAUUCACAAGCCAAACAACCAAUUUAUUAUUCCAACCAACCAAUUUAUUAUUCACAUGCCAACCAAUUUGUUUUAUUGAAGUUAUUAUACUUAUAAGCUUUCACAUAUAACCAUGCUUCUUUACAUAUAUUAAUUGCAUUUAUUGUUGUACCUCAUGAAAGAUUUUCAAAUUUGCAACAUAUUAUUUGCAUACCAACCAACCACUUUUUUUUUAUUGAAGUUAUUAUACUUAUAAGCUUUCACAUGUAACCAUGCUUCUUGUAACACAUUUCAUUGGAUCCGAUUGUUGGGUCCGAACUAUAGGAUGCUACAGUCAUUGUCAAAGCAACUACAGUCAGAAUUAUGAUAAGAUAAUUUUCAUUUAAACAUCAAUCACGAUUCAAUUACAGCAAUACAUUAAUUAUGAGCUUUAAUCGAGCUUACGAAAGCUUUUUUGGCAGUCUGAACAAGAAUUAGGACCAAACUGUAAAUUGGCUAAAUUUACUUAUAUCCACCAAAUUAUUAAAAUUUUAAAAUAUAUUCAAAAAAUUAGGACAAACAUUGGAUGAAACCACAAGGGAAAUUACAAACAGGAUCAAAUUGAAAGAAAAGCAAAAUGACAUGGAAGGAGUAAAAGAAGAGAUGGCUAAAUUGCCUGAAAAUUUAGCACCUAUAUUAAGCAACAUUGAUGAUAAAACACAUAGGAUGGAACCUAACUCAUGAAAAAUCUCAAAUUUGCAACCCCAUAUUAUUCACAUGCCAACCAACCAAAUUUUUUUGUCCUUUUUAGGGUCUACAAGACAGGUAGCAACCAUUAUUGAAGAAUUAGUCACGUUUUAAAUAUUUUCUUCUAAGUAAGCACAACGACAUUAAGAAAUUUACUUUUUAGAGUCUGUAUAAGGAAAGGGCCUUAGGAUUUGCUACUGCCACACUCGCUUCAGCAACAAUCGCUUCUAAUUUUCAGUCUGAGCGGUUCGAAGUAAUUAACUAGGUGAUUUUGUAGACUGUUUUUGGCUGAGUGAGUGAUGUUGGAAAAAAGGUGGCAAAAUGGCUACGAUAACGACAAAUGUUUCUAUAGCUUAUAUAAUAAACAUAAGGAAAAUAUUUUUGGUGUAAUAUCAAAUUUCGCUUCUAAUUUUUAUUAUUUUCAAUUUGAUUUUUAUUUUUUAGUAAAAUUUAGCUUUUUACUUUUGAAAGAGUUAAAUUGAUUAUCAAUCCUUAAACUGAAUUAAUAUUUUUCAAAAAUAAUGACUAAAAUAUUAAAUUUUAAACAUGAUAACUCAUAUGACAAUUCACGUGUACAUUUUUUAUUAUUAUUUUAAAAUUAUUUAUUGACAUAGCAUAUAAGAAAAUGAUUAUUAUGUUAGCAUGAAGUGCAUAUGGAUUGUCACACGAGUUGUAACACCAACAACGUAAAAAAUUAAUAUUUUAAUCAAUAUUUCUGUUAAAGAAAAGCAAUUUGACUUUUUUUUUGAAAGGUUCAUAGCUAAAUUUAGCUUAAAUAAUAAUAAUAAUGAUAAAAAAUAAAAGUCAAUUUGACAGAAAAUGUAAAUGUGGAGGACUAAAUUUAUUAUUAUGUCAUUUUUCUAAGUUUCACUUAUAAAAAUACAAUAUAGGUCCAAGUACAAAUAUGUGUCUGGAUUAAUCUAGAAAGAACUAGACAAAAUCUAUACAUGAUAUACGCAUAGAUGAGAGUGAGACCCAUUUUUAUAUCUACAACACUUCUUGAAUUUCAUACUCUUAAUACUAGCUUUUUUGUUGUUUGUUUCGCUUCAUUUGAUCUGUUUUGUUGUAAAAAAACAUAAAGAAAAACAUUCAAAAGUUUAACGUUAUAACAUUCCAAAAGAAAACACAUUCAAUAACUAACAUAUCUUGUAUUCUUGUAUUCUUUGAUCAAAUAGUGCAAGUGUAUUUAUACAGACUUUUGGAGGGUAACUACUGAACUGCUACUAACAACUUUUUAGCAGAAAGUUUAACAACUUAACCACCUAACAGAUUGCAUUUACCUAUGCUCUAAGAUUCUGUAAUGCGAAAUCAUACUUCAAAUUGUAAUUAUUACUUCAUAACAAUACAAGAUUUUCGUUACAAUGCUAGGAUUACUUAUAAACCUCAACCAUUAAAUGAGAGGAUAAAGACACUUUAAUAAGUUCGAAUCUUCGUCCUUUUGUAUUGACAAUAAUACUGAUAUCAAUCGAACUAAAACUCAGUAUAACAAUGGUUAAAUGAAUUUUAAGUACACAUAUUACUCUUACUAUGUAAGUAUUUAGGAUAAAUCACCCUCCAUGGUCAAACAAAUGGACCCAGGCUAUAAUUUGUAUAUAAAAAAAAUUAAAAAGCAUUAGUAAAACAAAUGGACCCAGGCUAUAAUCACCCUCCACUCAUUAACAAUUGUCAUCACAGGCUUAAUGUGGCAUGUUAACUAAUUGAUGUGACUAGUUAACUUGCCACGUUGGACAAGUAGUCAAAGGGUCAAAAAGAAAAAAAGAUGAUUGGUUAAGGGUAAAAAGAAAAAUAAGAGAAAUGAAGAAGAAGAAGAAGAAGAAGAAAAGAAGAACAGGGAAGGAAGAAGGGAAAAUGGAAGUAAAAGGGUCAAAAAGAAAAGAAAAGAUGAUUGGUUAAGGGUAAAAAGAAAAAUAAGAGAAAUCGAGAAGAAGAAAAAAUGAAGAACAGGGGAGGAAGAAGGGAAAAUGGAAGGAGCUUCCAAGCUUCAUACCAACGAUUCCCAAGGGUCAAAAUCUGGGAACUUGGAUUUUGAUCCUUGGGAAUCACUGUUACGAAGUCCUUCCAUUUUCUCCUUUUCUUCUUUUUCUCCAUUUAUUCUCUUAUUCUUCUUUUUUUUUUGUUCUUCUACUGCCCAAACUUCUUAAAUGGGUUUGUUUAAAUGACAGCUAGCCUACCCUUAAAUGCCAUUCACUUUUUCGUUACGUUUUGUUAAAAAGAUUGUUUAAAUGACAGAAAAUGGUUAAAAAGAUUGUUUUGUUAGCUACCCCAAAAUUGAGUGAUUGUUGCUGUAAUUUACCCCAUUUCUUAUUUGAAAUUGUAAAUUUUUAACAAGCUAAAUUUAAGGUUUUCAAAAUUCAACUCAUUAAGUUAUCGAUUUAUAAGUCUAAUUGGUUUGACGAAUUCAUCCGAUUAAUUAAAUUAAUUAUUAAAAAUUUUUGAUUUGAUUGCCCAAUUCAAUUAGUUUUUUUUUGGUUCAACCUGUUCAUAUAGAUUCCCAAGUCGAUUGGUCCAAUGAUUUCCUUCGGACUAAUACCUUAAUUAAUUUCCAAUCCAAAUCGAUUCAAAUAAUAUUAACUAAAAUACAAUUUUUAUUAUUUUAUUAAUGCAAAAAUUUUACCAUUUUAAAGAUAUUAAAAUAUAAAAUUUCUAUUUUAAAAAGUUGGAUUUGAAAUCAUAAUUUUUUUCCUAAAGAAAUGUACACUCAACAGGACCAAAGGAAUUCACAGGGAAAUUUUGUUUUAUGGACAGUCUUCAUCACAAAUGAUCCUAUCAAAUUAAAAGAGGAUAUAUCACCUUUUUUUCAUAUCAUAUAUACAUUGGGACUAAACUUCUAAAUAAAAAAUGAUGUGUCUUUUUUUAAUUGAGUGGGACCAUAGAUGAUGUGGUGAAAAUGGUCCAUUAAAUAAUUUAUCACAAGCAAGAGUAAUUCCAAAAAUAGAAAACUACAUUUUAAUUCUUUAAAAAUUAUUAAAUUAUAAAUUUAUAUAUUAUAAAAUUACACUUUGAUCCUCAAAAUGGAAAAAAUAUUUUGUUCAGUCUUUGACCACACCUAAUAAAAAGGAUUGGUGGUGACUCCAUUUUCGUUUUUUAAAUAAAAAGUCAAUUCCCAAAAAAAAGAUUUCGACAACCAUCACUUGGAUAACUUUGGUUAUCAGCUCAUGACACUUAGAGCUAUACAAUAUAUUUGGUGUUUGGCACAAUAUGGCAUACAUAGUAGUUUUCACUACUAAAAGAUAUGGUGCCUUACUCAUUCUUCUCUUAUCUUCCAAAGUUUUAGGAUUCAUAUCAUUCGAGUGAUGUACACUGUCAAUACUAUUUUUUUUGUAAAAGAGGUCGACUUUUUGUUUAAAAAUGAAAAUGGAGUCACCACCAAUCCUUUUUAUUUAGGUGUGAUAGGAUCACCUCGUAAUUUAAUCAUUUUAAUAAAAGUUUAAAUUUACUAAAAAAAUAAGUAAGUUAGUUUCUAUACAUCAGAUCAAAGAGCAAAUUGAUCAUUUUAUUACAUUUUUAAUCUUUUUCUAUCAUUAAAAAUUGAUUCAUAUACAUAAGUUUGAGGUACAGUGUCACGUCACAUGUUAUGAUUUGGUUAUUCCGUUAGUCACACCAGUUUUUAACAUUACAAAUAGAUGAAAAUUUUAACAGAAAUGACCAAGUUACUUUUUGAUCUAACAUAUAGGGACUAAUUUACUCAUUUUUCAAUAUAGAGAGCAAAAUGUAAUUCAACUCAAUGUACAAGGACUGUUAUUUUUUUUUCCAAUUUCACAUUAUUUUAUCAUAUUAUAUAUAUUGUUAGGAUCGUCCCGAUUAAGCAACGAACAAGUAAAAAUAGUAGAAGAAAUUGAGAAGAUGAACACACAAAUUUAACGUGGAAAAACCCCUCAAAAGAGGAUAAAAAACCACGGGCAAAGAUAAUUUUACUAUAAUGGCAAAAGAAUGAAGAGUACAAAAGAUGGAGAUAAAAACUAAACCCCGAAAACUCGAAAAACAAAGAACCCUCAAACGUAAACACAAAAUUCUCUGAAUGUGUUAUGAGUUCUAAUCUAAUGGGUGUCUCUUUUUAAUUCUAAGAUUGUAAAGGAGCCUAUUUAUAGGCUAAAUUAGUAAGUCAAAUAAACUAUACUAAUAAAUGCUAAAUAUAUUAUACUAAUAAAUACUAAAUCUUCUAGAAAGAAAAUAUAUUUUUGUUUAACUUGACUUGCAAGCAAUCUCUUAGAAUUUGGGUCACACAAUUCUAACAAUCUCCACCUUGACACGAAUUCUUUCAAUGCCAUCUUUGCCAAAACCCGCCACGAGCCUAUCUUGAACUAUGCAGGGAAUUAACUGAGUCGAAUCUAUGCUUAGAAGCUAGAAGACUUCUAGCCUUCGACUUGUGCACUGCCAAAUCAAAACUAACCCGGGUCUGAUUUUCACGAAUACAGUGCCCUAACUUUUCAAAACCUGCAUCCAAAAGAGAACCUCUCUUCAACGAAACGGUCAUACCUUUUUCCCUCCUAUGACCAAGUUGCCUCCGCUUCAAAUGAGUUGACUUUGACUCCGUAACGGACGAGGGACGUCCGAUUUCACCGGUCACUGUAGAACCUUCCAGAAUAUAAAGACUGCCGGUUCUUUUACCUUUUAACAAAACGAGAGCUCCACGAGAUACUUUAAUGUCGCUCGACUCGAUGUUGAUUCUGCAUCCUUUCAAGUCUAAAAUACUCAAGGAGAUGAGAUUCUUUCGUAAAUCGGGUACAUACCUGACAUCUGAGAGUGUCCUAAUCGUCCCAUCGUGUAUCCUAAUUUUAACAGUACCAAUACCGAUUAUUUUACUAGAUGAAUCGUUUCCCAUGUGCACAACUCCACCUUCAACUGAACUGUAUGUGGAGAACCAUUCUCUAUUGGGACACAUGUGGAAAGAACAUCCUGAAUCUAGGAUCCACUCAGACGUAAGCUUGGAGUUAUCGCUCGUUGACACUAACAAGAAAUCAUCACCGCCUUCAUCGACCAAAUUAGCACCAGCUACAUCUUCCUCGUUACUCUCAGCAGCUCUUUUAUUUCGCAGUUUAAAACAAUCUGCUUUGACGUGACCUAACUUUUUGCAAUAGCGACACCUUUUGUCUCGUUUCUUUGAUGCUACCAAAACGGAAGCUUGUCUAUCUGCUUUGCUAUUCAAAUCAAACUCAUUGUCGAGUUUGUCUCUACUCAACAAAUAACCUUUCACAUCUUCAAACGAGAGUUUGUCUCUGCCAUAAAUCAGGGUCUCCCUGAAAGACUUGUAUGAAGAGGGUAAAGAGCACAAUAAUAGCAUAGCUUGAUCUUCAUCGUCAAUAUGAACCUCAACGUUCUUUAAAUCAUUUAAAAGAGUAAUGAAUUGAUUGAUGUGAUCUUUAAGAAGCUCACCUUCGUUCAUGCGAAACGUAAAUAGACGUUGUUUCAACACUAAACGGUUAGCCAGAGACUUAGUCGCAUAAAGAGUUUCUAACCUUUUCCACAAGGCGAAUGAGGUCUUCUCCAUCAAUACCUCCUGCAAUACUGUAUUCGCGAGACACAACUGGAUUGCAGACAAGGCCUUUUCAUCAAGCUCUUCCCAUUUUGUUUGAUUUAGAUUCUCAGGCUUUUUCCCUGUAACAACCUUUUUCAAGCCAUUUUGAACUAGAAUUGCCAUCAUCCGAACUUGCCACAGAUUGAAAUUUGUCUCACCAUCGAACUUCUCAAUUUCAAACCUUGUUGCUGCCAUCUCUGACCGGGCUGAUCUAUGAAAGUUAAACUAUCUCUGAUACCACUUGUUAAGAUCGUCCCGAUUAAGCAACGAACAAGUAAAAAUAGUAGAAGAAAUUGAGAAGAUGAACACACAAAUUUAACGUGGAAAAACCCCUCAAAAGAGGAUAAAAAACCACGGGCAAAGAUAAUUUUACUAUAAUGGCAAAAGAAUGAAGAGUACAAAAGAUGGAGAUAAAAACUAAACCCCGAAAACCCGAAAAACAAAGAACCCUCAAACGUAAACACAAAAUUCUCUGAAUGUGUUAUGAGUUCUAAUCUAAUGGGUGUCUCUUUUUAAUUCUAAGAUUGUAAAGGAGCCUAUUUAUAGGCUAAAUUAGUAAGUCAAAUAAACUAUACUAAUAAAUGCUAAAUAUAUUAUACUAAUAAAUACUAAAUCUUCUAGAAAGAAAAUAUAUUUUUGUUUAACUUGACUUGCAAGCAAUCUCUUAGAAUUUGGGUUACACAAUUCUAACAUAUAUAUAUUAGCAUACGCCUAUCAUGCAAAUGGUAUAAUGUCCAGAUUAUCUGGUCUUUGAUUUCAUUUGUCAAUUAAUGAUUGUGGAUUGACAAUAUUGACCAUUUUAUGCACGGGGACUACUCAUCUACUCCUCUUCUGCCAUUCUCACUACCCAUUUGCAUUCAUUUUCUCUGCCCUACUGCUCCUCUGCAGUGCACUCUCCAAUUGCAUUUAAAGACAAUAUAUACGUAUAGAUUGUAAAUUUUCUUGGCUGGAAGCUCACUGUAAGCCAAAAUCAAAACAAACUUUUGAUGGUUUAAUUGUUUUUUAGCCCUUCAAUUUCAGGUGCUAUGAGAAAUGGAUUACAACCUCAUCUUGUCAUUAUCCCAAAAUCAAAACAAGCAACUCUUGGUUGAAAGUUGAAACCAAGAGCCAAGUCAAAAUUGUUUUAGGAUGAGUCCAAAAUGAAUAAUGAAUUUGAAGGUUCAAAAUAAAAUUUUAUUAUUAUAUUAAUUUAUAAUUUCAUAAAUUUUAAAAGGAUUAAAUAAUAAAUUUACUAAUUUAAGAAGACAAUAGGGAUGAUCAAAUCUAAUUGAACCUAUCAGCGAUCGGAUCGGGAUGGAUUUUUUAAAUUUAAAAAAUUAAAUAGAUUGAAUCGAAAAUCUAGGAGUUACAAAAUUCUCAUAAAUAACAAGAGUUUACAAAAAGAACACUUACUUUGGUUGAUGUAUGGUAUAAUAAGUCUGCAAAGCACCGAUAAAAAGUGCAGCAAUGGCACCCACAAAUGCGAAAAACGUCCAACGAGUCCUAAAAAAAGUACGGUAAACUUGAGCUGGAUAUCUAAUCCACAGAUUGUUUUGAUGAUCAUGUAUUUUCCGUUUAACCCCACUGUAAAUCAUCGGACUAGGAACCAAACCAGUGUUCAUCUUGUUGAAAAGCUUAGCCACUUCUUUAUCACUCCCCAAUCUAUUGUAUAAUAUGCCGACGUCUCUCAGUUCCUUAACAUCUUCGGCUUCAUCGAUCAAUGAACCAAGGAAACACAUAUAUGAAGUGACGGCGAAAUCGUUCUGGAAAUCCGGACACAUUUCGUAAGCUAUUAAGUUCAUGGUUGAAUCAUCGACGGAGAUCGGCGGUAAACAUAAUUUUCCGACGAAUAAGAUACGGUUGAAACUGAUGUCGGUUAAAUAACUUGUUUCGCUUGCUUCUAACCAUAUCCCGGUGUUUUUAAGCUCUUUUACGUUAUGAAUGGUGUGUGAAUGGCACCGUUUUGUUCUUUCUUCUUUUCUAUCUUCGUGUUCAAUGCAAAACGGAAAACACCACCGCCGUAGUUUUUCUAUUUUGAAAAGGAGUCUUUUAUGAAUUCCCCACCCCCGUGGUUUUUCUUUUUUGAAAAGGAGUCUUACUCGUAGUAGAUGCAAUAAGUGAAUUGGCGUUCCUUCUUGCUGCGGCCACCAGUCACUAGAGCCAAAUCUGUGUUAGUCAGGAGCCAGCUAAAAUCAAGGUUUUCAAUGGUUGAAUCAAAUCAUUAUUAUUUUAAUAAAAAAUUAUUUAAAUUAUUAAAUUACAUUUUAAACCUUUUAAAAAUUAUUAAAUUAUAAAUUUAUAUACAAUAAAAUUAUACUUUGACUCCUCAAAAUGAAUAAAAAAUUGUUCAAACACUUUUGAAAAAUGAUGAAAUUAUAAAUUAAUACAUAAAAAAAAUCUAAGAAUCAAACCAAACUUGUGGAUCGGCCUAAUUAGAUAGAGAAUCGAGCAAGGUACUGAUCCAGAAUAAUAAGUUAAAUCCAUUGAAUCCAAUCAUCGAAUCGAUUUUUUAUAUAUUUUUAAUAUUUUUAAAAAUUUAUAUAUAUAAUUAAACUGAAUGAACUUAUCAACUAGAAAUGAGAGUCUAAUAGAUUCCAUCACCCAUCUAGUUAUAAAAACCUUUUAACUUUUAUAAACUCCACAAAAAUGGUUAAAAAGACUGUUUUGCCAGCUACCCCAAAGUUGAGUGAUUGUUGCUGUAAUUUACCCCAUUUCUUAUUUGAAAUUGUAAAUUUUUAACAAGCUAAAUUUAAGGUUUUCAAAAUUCAACUCGUUAAGUUAUCGAUUUAUAAGUCUAAUUGGUUUGACGAAUUCAUCCGAUUAAUUAAAUCAAUUAUUAAAAAUUUUCGAUUUGAUUGCCCAAUUCAAUUAGUUUUUUUUUUGGUUCAACCUGUUCAUAUAGAUUCCCAAGUCGAUUGGUCCAAUGAUUUCCUUCGGACUAAUACCUUAAUUAAUUUCCAAUCCAAAUCGAUUCAAAUAAUAUUGGCUAAAAUACAAUUUUUAUUAUUUUAUUAAUGCAAAAAUUUUACCAUUUUAAAGAUAUUAAAAUAUAAAAUUUCUAUUUUAAAAAGUUGGAUUUGAAAUCAUAAUUUUUUUUCUAAAGAAAUGUACACUCAACAGGACCAAAGGAAUUGGCAGGGAAAUUUUGUUUUAUGGACCGUUUUCAUCACAAAUGAUCUUAUCAAAUUAAAAGAGGAUAGAUCAUCUUUUUUUUCAUAUCAUAUAUACAUUGGGACUAAACUUCCAAAUAAAAAAUAAUGUGUCUUUUUUUAAUUGAGUGGGACCAUAGAUGAUGUGGUGAAAAUGGUCCAUUAAAUAAUUUAUCACAAGCAAGAGUAAUUCCAAAAAUAGAAAAUUACAUUUUAAUUCUUUAAAAAUUAUUAAAUUAUAAAUUUAUAUAUUAUAAAAUUACACUUUGAUCCUCAAAAUGGAAAAAAUAUUUUGUUCAGUCUUUUUUUUUUAAAAAAAUAUGAACUUAUAAAUCAAUACAUGAAAAAAUUUAAGCGUCAGGCUAGUUGGAAAGAAAAGAUGAUUGGUUAAGGGUAAAAAGGAAAAUAAGAGAAAUGGAAAAGAAGAAGAAAAGAAGAACAGGGGAGGAAGAAGGGAAAAUGGAAGGAGCUUCCAAGCUUCAUACCAACGAUUCCCAAGGGUCAAAAUCUGGGAAUUUGGAUUUUGAUCCUUGGGAAUUACUGUUACGAAGUCCUUCCAUUUUCUCCUCUUCUUCUUUUCUUCUUUUUCUCCAUUUCUUCUCUUAUUCUUCUUCUUUUUUUUUGUUCUUCUACUGCCCAAACUUCUUAAAUGGGUUUGUUUAAAUGACAGCUAGCCUACCCUUAAAUGUCAUGUCACUUUUUCGUUACGUCUGUAACGAAAAAUGGUUAAAAAGACUGUUUUGUCAGCUACCCCAAAGUUGAGUGAUUAUUGCUAUAAUUUACCCUAUUUCUUAUUUGAAAUUGUAAAUUUUUAACCAGCUAAAUUUAAGGUUUUCAAAACCCAACUCGUUAAGUUAUCGAUUUAUAAUUCUAAUUGGUCUAAUGAAUUCAUCCGAUUAAUUAAAUUAAUUAUUAAAAAUUUUCCAUUUGAUUGCCCAAUUCAAUUAAUUUUUUUUGGUUCAACCUGUUCAUAUAGAUUCCCAAAUCAAUUGGUCCAAUGACUUCCUUCAGACUAAUACCUUAAUUAAUUUCCAAUCCAAAUCGAUUCAAAUAAUAUUGGCUAAAAUACAAUUUUUAUUAUUUUAUUAAUGCAAAAAUUUUACCAUUUUAAAGAUAUUAAAAUAUAAAAUUUCUAUUUUAAAAAGUUGGAUUUGAAAUCAUAAUUUUUUUUCUAAAGAAAUGUACACUCAACAGGACCAAAGGAAUUGGCAGGGAAAUUUUGUUUUAUGGACCGUUUUCAUCACAAAUGAUCUUAUCAAAUUAAAAGAGGAUAGAUCAUCUUUUUUUUCAUAUCAUAUAUACAUUGGGACUAAACUUCCAAAUAAAAAAUAAUGUGUCUUUUUUUAAUUGAGUGGGACCAUAGAUGAUGUGGUGAAAAUGGUCCAUUAAAUAAUUUAUCACAAGCAAGAGUAAUUCCAAAAAUAGAAAAUUACAUUUUAAUUCUUUAAAAAUUAUUAAAUUAUAAAUUUAUAUAUAAUAAAAUUACACUUUGACCCUCAAAAUGGAAAAAAUAUUUUGUUCAAUCUUUUUAAAAAAAUAUGAACUUAUAAAUCAAUACAUGAAAAAAUUUAAGGAUUCGACAAAACUUAUCGGUCAGGCUAGUUGUUGAGAAAAUUGAACAAGAUAUUGAUCCAGAAUAAGAGAUUAGAUUAGAUGAAUUGAGUCAUCGAAUGGAUUUUCUUUAUAUGUUUAAUAUAUCUUUAAUAUUUUCAAAAACUUAUAUAACUGAAUCGAAUAAACUAAUCAAUCAAAAUUAAGAGUAAUCAAUGUAAAAACCUUUUAACAUUUAUAACCUCGACAAAAUGAUUUUUUUAUUUAUUUUUAAAUUCCUUAAAUUACCUGUCCUCGGCUGGGGUGAUAACAGUGUCGUCGAUGAACCUUUUGACUGCAUUCAUGAACUUUUCGCCAUCACUCGAGCUUGUAAGCAAUUCAAGAACACGAAAAGGUAUUUGGUUCUCCAACAAUAACAGAUCCGAGUACACAAAUGUCAGCAAAUCGUUUUUAAUAAACAACCGGUCAUAUUCAGAAGAAAUAUCAUCACCGUAACGCAUAUAAACUGCUUGUAAAAUUGCGCAGCCGUCAACGAAGAACAUCCAAGCCAGUUCCUCGUCAUCGUCGCUAUAGUUCGCUAAUUCCUGUGGAUCAUAGCAUUUCUUUAAGUCAUCGAUCUCUGCCUUCAUGUUGCUGUACUCCUCAUUGUCGUCAAUGUUUCUGACGAAAUGUGCUGCUAAUUUGAGCUUGAGAUCAUUGGAUUCUUGGAGGGUGCCAUCAUCGUGGUGGAGUGGGCCGAUUGAGAUCACUUUCGGCUUGAAAUACUUCUUGAAAUCUUCGUUACGGCUAAGGGUUGAUGGGACUUUUCGGAUCAAUGGAUUGCAUGUGCCGUUGGAAGCUUUGACUAAUGACGCGAGAUUCGCUAAUUCGCCCUUCCAGCGUAGCAAGUCAAUACGAAUGCUCACGAAAUCGUUGUUGUUGGUGAUUGUUUGAUCAGUGGAAACUGCUCCGACGGCGCCGCCUCCUUCCUCCGUGGACGGCAUUUUCAGGCUGAGCGGUUGGAAGUAAUAAAGAAGGUGAUUUUGUAAACUGUUUUUGGCUGAGUGAGUGAUGUUGGAGAAAAGGUGGCAAAAUGGCUACGAUGAUGACAAAUAUUUUAUAGCCUACAUGAUAAACAUAUAUGGGAAAUACUUAAGGUGUAAUUCAAAUUUACCCCUUAGUGUUUAUAUUUUUAUUAAUAUAAUUUUAAUUUUUUAAUUAAAUUUAAUUCUCUUUUGAAAGAGUCAAUGAUAAAAAAGAAAAGUUAAAUUAAUAUUUUUUAACAAAAAUAGUAAUAAAUAUUAAAAUUAAGAAUAAUAUUAUAGAACCUAAAUACUCAACACAACCCAAAACCUUCGCCUUAACCAAGAAACUAAUACUUCCUAAAUUUCAUUAGCUUAAUAAUAGCUAUUCAAAUAUAUUUUUUCAUUGUAUUACUUAAAUUAUUAUUACUUACUUUAACAUUUAAAUUAUCAUUAUAUUACAUGAUUAGUUCCAAAUAUUUAACAUUGUAACUAUGCUUCUUUAAAUAUAGUAAUUGCAUUUGUUAUUCACAUGUUAUUCACAUGCCAACCAACCAAUUUAUUAUUCACAUUCCUAACUUUCUAAAUGCAUCAAAUAUUUCAUAUUCAUGUACUAACAAAGAUCAUGCCAAGAACCCACAUGCAGAGUCAUUAUAUACCACAUUUAACUCAACAAGACUUUUACAUAACCAAAGAUUACUCCAAACGUUUAUACGCAUGUCGCAAUCCUUGACUCAAAUGAUAAAAAAAAAAACACCAAAUUGACAAUAAAAUAAUGUAAGCUUCGAACGAUCCAAUCGACAUGUUCCACAAUGUAACACCUAAAAGGAAAAAGAAAACAAUGGGGUAAGCAUAUAAGAUGCUUAGUAAACUCAUAUGUAAUCUAAAACUUACCUAGAUUAAUUGAACAUAAAAAUUACUGAAUAAUCUAUCAAAUUUAUUUUUCCAUGGCACGUAGAUAUCGUAUAUGUAACAACAUUUCAAGUCGAAAAUGUUAAAUACAAUGUUGAAUCAUUAUGUCUUCUUUUCUUAAGUUUCACUUAUAGAAAUAUAAUAUAGGUUCAAGUACAAAUAUAUGUCUCGAUUAAUCUAGAAAGAAUUAGACAAAAUUCACAUAUGAUAUACGCAUAUAAUGAGUGUGAGACUCACACAUCACAAUUGAGAAUAAUGUUAUAGAACCUAAAUACUCAACAACCCAAAACCUUUGCGUUAAGCAAGAAGCUAAGACCCUAUCGGAGGGAGAAUUUUAUAUCUACAACACUUCUUAAAUUUCAUUAGCUUAACAAUAGCUAUUCAAAUAUUUAACAUUGUAACCAUGCUUCUUUACAUAUAGUAAUUGCAUUUGUUAUUCUACCCAACUUAUGAAAAAUCUCAAAUUUGCAAUUUAUUAUUCACAUGCCAACCAACCAAUUUAUUAUUCACGUGCCAACCAAUUUGUUUUAUCGAAGUUAUUAUACUUAUAAGCUUUCACAUAUAACCAUGCUUCUUUACAUAUAUUAAUUGCAUUUAUUGUUGUACCUCAUGAAAAUUUUCAAAUUUGCAACAACAUAUUAUUCGCAUGCCAACCAACCUCUUUUUUUUUAUUGAAGUUAUUAUACUUAUAAGCAUUCACAUUUAACCAUGCUUCUUGUAACACUUUUCAUUGGACCCAAUCGUUGGGUCCGAUCUACAAGACUCUACAGUCAUUGUCAAAGCAACUACAGUCGAAAUUACGAUAAGAUAAUUUUCAUUUAAACAUCAAGCAAGAUUCAACUACAGUAAUACAUUAAUUAUGAGUUUUAAUCGAGCUUACAAAAGCUUUUUUGGUAGUCCGAACAAGAAUUAGGACCAAACUAUAAAGAUUUGAAAAGUUUGGAGCGACGUCGCAACUUCAGCUUUUCCUCAUCGCAACAUGACCAUCUCAGUAUGUCACAUCAUAUCGAAAAGCCUAUGCUCAUCGCAGCGAGACUCUCUGACUUGGCAAUGUCGCAAUGUCAAGAUUCGUAGCCGUGAUGUGAACUCUAUAUUUGACAAAAAUAUACAAUUUGGUACCUAAUUCAAAGCUCCAACUAAAAUCAUGCAAGAAAAAUACAUUACGUGCCAUUUCUAAAUGACUUAAAACUUACCUUAAACAUGCUAAGUAAGUUUAAACAUAUCAUUUCAAUUCCAUAGCAAUUCAUAUUACCAUUUCAUCAAUUGUAUUCAACUUUUCAAUAACUUGUAACCAUGCUUCUUUACAUAUAGUAAUUGCAUUUGUUAUUCUACCUAAUUUAUGAAAAAUCUCAAAUUCACAAUUUAUUAUUCACAAGCCAAACAACCAAUUUAUUAUUCCAACCAACCAAUUUAUUAUUCACAUGCCAACCAAUUUGCUUUAUUGAAGUUAUUAUACUUAUAAGCUUUCACAUAUAACCAUGCUUCUUUACAUAUAUUAAUUGCAUUUAUUGUUGUACCUCAUGAAAAUUUUCAAAUUUGCAACAACAUAUUAUUCGCAUGCCAACCAACCUCUUUUUUUUUAUUAUUGAAGUUAUUAUACUUAAAAGCUUUCACAUGUAACCAUGCUUCUUGUAACACUUUUCAUUGGAUCCGAUCAUUGGGUCCGAUCUACAGAACGCUACAGUCAUUAUCAAAGCAACUACAGUCAGAAUUACGAUAAGAUAAUUUUUAUUUAAACGUCAAUCACGAUUCAAUUACAGUAAUACAUUAAUUAUGAGCUUUAAUCGAGCUUACGAAAACUUUUUUGGCAGUCCGAACAAGAAUUAGGACCAAACUGUAAAGAUUUGAAAAGUUUAGAGCGAUACUGCGACUUCAGCUUUUCCUCAUCGCAACAUGACCAUCUCAGUAUGUCACAUCAUAUCAAAAAGCCUAUGCUCGUCGCGGCGAGACUCUCUGACUUGGCAAUGUCGCAAUGUCAAGAUUCGUAGCCGUGAUGUGAACCCUAUAUUUGACAAAAAUAAACAAUUUGGUAUCUAAUUCAAAGCUCCAACUAGAAUUAUGCAAGAAAAAUACAUUACGUGCCAUUUCUAAAUGACUUAAAACUUACCUUAAACAUGCUAAGUAAGUUUAAACAUAUCAUUUCAAUUCCAUAGCAAUUCAUAUUACCAUUUCAUCAAUUGUAUUCAACUUUUCAAUAACUUAAACUAAAUAUCAACAAGUUAUACAAACAUCUACCAUUACCUUUAUCAUGCCAUAAUGAAUCAUUCCAUUUCAAACAAUCAUCACAUUAGUUCUUUCAUUUUUCUUUUUUAGUCAUCAUAUGCAAACCAACUUAAAUAGAUCACAUUCCAACUUUCUAAAUGCAUCAAAUAUUUCAUAGCAAAGAUCAUGCCAAGAACCCACAUGCAAAGUCAUUAUAUACCACAUUAAACUCAACAAAACUUUUACACAACCAAAGUCUACUACAAAUGUUUAUAUACAUGUCGCAAUCCUUGACUCAAAAUGAUAAAAAAUAAACUACCAAAUUGAUGAGAAAAUAGUUUAAGCUUAGAACAAUCCAACCGACGUGUUCUGCAAGGUAACAACCUAAAAGAAAAAAAGAAACAACGGGAUAAGCAUAUGAUAUGCUUAGUAAGCUCAUAUGGAAACUAAAACUUACCUAGAUCCAUUGAACAUAAAAAAUUACUCAAUAAGCUAUUGAAUUAAUUUUUCCUUGGCACUUAUAUACAUAUAGUACAUGUAACAACAUUGCAAGUCAAAAGUGUUAGAUACAAUGUUGAAUCAUAAUCCCAUCAACCUUUAAAACAUAAUCACAUAGCAAUCUACAUAUCAAAUUUCAUCAAUUUAUUUUUCAAUUCAAGAUUUAAUUCCAUUUCCAACCAUUUAAUCAUCCUCUGAUAAAACUAUAGUAAAAAAGACCUAGGUACAUGGGACUAUUUUGCUGACACUUUAACGAACUUUCUCACACAAGUUGAUUUUAUAUUAGAAUUGUUCACACAAGUUGACUUUGUAAUAAUUGCUCACACAAGCUAACUUUAUAUAAUGGAAUUGUUCACACAUCCUGACUUUGUAAAAUGCUCACACAAGCUGACUUUGUAAUACUUCCAUACAACUAAUAUUUAUGAUUCAAUUAAAUUCAAGACAAUUGUGCUAAAUUCUAACAAUUAUAUAUAUAUAUAUAUCCUUUUUUUCGGGAUCAUUCCAAAAAAAACCGUUUUUAAUUUUUGGUGCGGAACAAAAAAAAAGUGAAUUGAAUUUAAAGUUGGAUCGAGUGAAUAAAUGGAUAGAGCUCCACGGCCCCAAUUAUAGGGAAACAAAAAGUAACAAGCUUCUGUUCUCAAUUUGAAUAAUUACCUAAUCUAAUUAAACUUUAAAAAAAAAAUUAGUGCCUAAUGUGGUAAAGGUUUUUCUCAUGAGUAAAUUAUCGGUUUUUUUUUUGAGUCCUAAUUAUUAUUAUUAGGCAUUCCCUUUAUGGGUUAGCCAUGAAUGUGUAGAAGAAGCAGUAUAUUGAUAAAGAAAAUAACUUUUUUUCUAAAAUCAAAAGAGCGAUUGGGUUGAAAAAAUAAAGGAUUUCUAACCGUCAUAUAUGUUGAUUCAAAUAUAAUUCAUACCAAAAUAAAAUUGAUUAUUAAGUUAAAAUAAAAUUUAGGAUGUGAAAGAAGUUCAAAAAAAAAAUUAAUGCAAAAGAAAGAUAAGGGUAUUUUUUUUAGGUCAUGGAUGUAACAACGAAGCUCGGUUAUUGUUGGUGUUGUAUGGAAGAAUCGAAGAUGUAGUGAAUGAGUUUUUAGGGUUUUAAAGUUUAACAUUGAAAGAUUGUUGUUUGUGGGUAUGUGACUGUUUUCGAUGUAAGGAAUGGUAUAAAAAAAUUACGAUUUAGGGUUUUAUUAUAUAAAUAAAGAAAGCGCCUUUUAAGAUUGUUAGAGGCACCUAUCUUUGUUUUUAGUGUAUGUAUCAUGGUCCUGAUGAUGCGGUACAAGUUUAGUUCUUUUGAGUGUGUCUUGUGAUGUGAAGUCUGUUUUGUUGGGGCUCUUGGCUCCUAUGUUUCAAUGAUAAUAAAAUAUACGUCAAACAAAAUUCUCACAAAAAACAGAGUUUACAAAACGACUAGUAAACAACACUUACUUUGGUUGAUGUAUGGCAUAAUAAGUCUGCAAAGCACCAAGCAAAAGUGCAGUAAUGGCACCCACAAAUGCCAAAAACGUCCAAGGACUCCUAAAAUAAGUAUGAUAAGCUAGAGCUGCAUGCUUAAUCCGCAUAUUCUUACAAUGAUUAUGUAUUUUCCGUUUAACCCCACCGUAAAUCAUCGGACUAGGAACCAAAUCAGUGUUCAUCUUAUUGAAAAGGUUAGCCACUUCUUCAUCACUCCCCAAUCCGUUGUAUAGUAUGCCGGUGCCACUCAGGUCUUUAACAUCUUCGGCUUCAUCGAUCAAUAAAUCAAGGAAACACAUAUAUGAAGUGACAGUGAAAUCGUUUUUGAAAUCCGGGCACAUUUCGUAAGCUAUCAAGUUCAUGGUUGAAUCAUUGACGGCGAUUGGCGGUAAACAUAAUUUUCCAACGAAGAUACGGUUGAAACAGAUUCGUAGUAGAUUCAGUAGGUGAAUUGGACUUGCAGCUUCCACCAUUACCAUUUUCUAGAGCUAAAUCUGUGUCAAGUCAUCGAUUUAUAAGUUUAAUUGAUCCGAUGUAUUCAUAUUUGUUGAUUAAAUAAAUCAUUAAAAAUUUUGAUUUUAUUAUUUAGUUCAAUAAGUUUUUUUUUUUUUUUACAAUUCAACCUGAUUCUUAAGUCAAUCGAUCUAAUGACUUUCUUUAAACUCAUACCUCAAUUAAUUUUCAAUCCAAUAUAAUCCAAACAACAUUUCGUAAAAUAUAAUUUUAUUUUACCAUUUUGAAAAGUUGGAUUUGAAAAUGCACACUCAACAGGAUCAAUACAAAGGGACAGGCGAGGUCGUUCUCAAAAAUAGAAAAUUAUAUUUUCAUCCUUUUUAAAUUAUUAAAUUAUAAAUUUAUAUAAUAAAAUUACACUUUAACCUUUUAAAAUGAAAAAAAAAAUUGUUCAACCUUUUUAAAACUGAUGAAAUUAUAAAUUAAUAAAUGAAAAAAAAAGAGAAUGAGACGAAACUUGUUGAUCAAGCUAGUUGGAUAGAGAAUUAAGUAAAGGUGCUCAUGGGUAAGGUUGAACCCAAUAAAAGAUUUAUGCCUCAGCUUGGCCCACUCGUUUUAAUUUUUUUAAAUUUUUUUAAAUUUUUUUAAUAUAAUUUUUAAAUAUAUAUGAUACAUUAAAAAUACUAAAAAACAUUAAAAUAAAUAUUUCCCAACAAACUAAUUUUUUUUUAAAAAUAUGUAUACUUAAAUAACAUUAAAGUAGACACUGUAAAAUGGUAAUAAAAUAGGAAGAAAAUGACAAGAAACUAGCAUUAAAACAAUAAAAAAAUAACAUAUUUUUUUGUCCUUUUGUGAUUCGGGCUAGGGUUGGGCCAAAAAUGUCUUACCCGAGACUCGGCCUAUUUUCAAAACUAGAUUUUUUUUUGCCCAAGUCAAUUUUUUAGGUCUAUAUUUUUACUUAAACCCUUAUAUUUCUCGGACGAGCCAAAUGACCCAAUCUAUGAGUAAGUCUAGAAUCAAGCAAGAUACUGGUCCAGAAGAAAAGGAUAGACAAAUUGAAUCGAAUAGUAAAAUCGAUUUUUUUUAUAUUUUUAAUAUAACUUUAAUAUUUUUUAAGAUUCUAUAUAAUUUAAACGAAUGAACUAUUCAACCGAAAAUGAGGAUCUAAUCGAUUCCAUCACCUAGUUAUAAAAAUCUUUAACACUUAUAAACUCCACAAAAUAUUCUUUUUAAAAUUCCUUAAAUUACCUGUCCCGCUGAUGUGAUUGUGGCUCUUUUAUCUCGGCUGGGUUGACAACAGUGUCGUCGAUGAACCUUUUGAUUGAAUCCAUGAACUUUUUGCCAUCCCCCGAGCUUGUAAGCAAUUCAGGAACACGAAAAGGUGAUUGGUUUUCCAACAAGAACAGAUCCGAGUACACAAAUGUCAGCAAAUCGUUUUUAAUGAAAUUCGUUCGACUUACGAUCAUAAUCUUGGCCGUAACGCAUAUAAACUGCUUGUAAAAUUGCGCAGCCGUCAAUUCCUUUGGAUCAUAGCUUUUCUUCAAGCCAUCCGGCUCUGUCUUCAUGUUGUUGUACAAGGUAUCAUUAUCGAUGCCAAUUUUUUUAACGAAAUUUGCUGCUAAAUUGAGCUUGAGCUUCUCGGACUCGUGGAGGGUGGGAUCAUCGUGGUGGAGUGGGCCAAUUGAGAUCACUUUCGGCUUGAAAUAUUUCCGGAAAUCUUCGUCACGGCGAAGGGUUGCUGGGACUCUUUUGUCAAUAGUUUGGCUUUGGGGUCGAGAUGGUCCCCUUCGAAAGCUUCGUCUAAUGACCAGCAAUUCCGUGAUUCGCCAUUGCUGUGAGUGAAGUCUGUACCCGGUAUUGGAAUGAUCGUCUCUAGGGGAUUGUUGUUCGUGUUGUUAUUGAUGACUGUUUGAUCAGUGGAAACUACUCCACCGGGAGCUCUGACGGCGCCGCCUCCUUCUGUAACACCCCUAUACCAUGUUUGACUUAAGGAACCUAAUAUAAGAAUAUUACAUUUGAUGCCAAAGUAAUUCUUGGCUAAUUACUAUUAUAUUUGAACAUAAAAACAGACAAAUAAUAAAUUUAAAUAAUUUAUAUUUAAAUCCAUUACUACUACUUGGGACAUAAUUUUUUUUAAGUACAUGCCAUUCUAUUCAAAAUUUUAAAACAUACCCGUUGUUGCUUGAAGAUGUGAUGAGAUGAAAGCUUACAAUCUCAAAUUCGACUCUCAAAAAUUUAUGUACCUAAUUUGCGCAAGGAAACAAAUCGUACAAUGAGUAUACACCCAGUGUUAUUACUAUAAUUCAAAUACUUAAGGUAAAAACAAUAUAUAUACACAUUAAAUCUUACCACUAUUUUACCUUCAAUAAAUCAUUCAUGCAUUUAAACUUUAAAUUUAUUCUAAUAAUAUGUAUCUUAAAUAGCUUUUCUUUAUUUUAAUUUAUAUAUCUACUUAUUAUAUCAAUAUUCAUUUCAUGCAUUUCAUCAAUAACCAUUUCAUAAAACUAUUAUUUCAUAUAUUUCAUUUCUAUAUCCUAAUUCAAUAAUUUAUUCUAUUCCAUAUCUAAAACCUUACAACAUUAGUCUUUCAAUAAUUAUUUAAACCAACAUUUUUCAAUAAAAAUAAUUAUAAUUAAUUCAUAAGAUUAUAUCCAACUAACUCAUACACUAUUUCAUUAUUUCCUAUUCAUUCUAUUUUCACUUCUUAUUUCGAUAUCUCAAUUUCAAUUCACAUUUCAAUUCAUAAUUUCACUUUCUCAUACUUUCAAUAGCUCAAUCCAUCAAUUCAUUUGAUUUUUUCAUUUCAUUUAUUCAACUGAUUUCAAAAUCAAUAAUUCGAUAUUUUAGCAAAUUCAUGAACCUUAUGUUCAUGCUUCAAAUCUCGCAUCUUAAUGCCGUUCACAAUUCAACUCAUAAUUUCUUUCUCAUAUCUCUAAAAGUACGAUCAAUCAAAUUUAUUUAAUUUUCUCAUUUCAGUUAUUCACCUUAUUAACAAACCCGGACUUUGACGGAUACACGAAUUCCAACCCAAACACACCAGUACGGCAUAUUGUGCCUAAAACGGUACAUAGUACCUGAUCAGUAUACGACACAUAAGUGCCUGAAAUGACACACGAGGUGCCUAAUAUGACACACGAGGUGCCUGAAAUACGCAAAGCCGAUAUAUCCCGGACUCUUAUAAAUCCUAUGGCAUGCCAAUUAUAUCCGACUCAGCCCGACUAGAUAAUAGGGUAUUUCAAUUCUCAAUUCACUUUCAUUUCCAAUUCAAUAUCACUUUUCAAUUACAAUUUCUCAUUCAAAUCAAUAUACAAUUCAAUUGUACAUACACAUUCAUCAUUCAAUUCAAUUCUCAUUCAUUUCAAAAUCAAUUUUUCACUUUCUAAUCAAUAAACAAUUCAAUACCAAUACAUAUUUCAGAUAAUCACAUAUAAUCAUAUUUCGAUUCAAUUCAAACCACUUUUCAAUCAAUACACAAUUCACAUAUUCACACAUAUUCAUAAAUUAAUUCACUUUUAUUUAAUUCAUAUUUUUAAUUCAUUUUCCAAUCAAAUUCAAAUCACUAAUUACUUUUCAAUCAAUAUACAUUUCAAAUACUCACAUAUUUUCUUCAUUCAAUUCAAUUUGAUUCAAUUAAAAUCACUUUUAGUUUCCAAUCAAUAUAAUUUCAAAUAUUCACAUAAUUCGUAAUUCAAUUACUUAAAUCACUUUUAAUUUCCAAUUUGUUCACAUUCAAUUUCAAUAGCCAUAAACAUUUUUGAAUCAAUUUCAUUCAAAUCAAUAUCAUCAUUUCAAUUGCUUACCUAAUUUUAUUUGCCAUGCAUUUUAAUUCAAAUAUAACAAUUAAUAAUAAAUAGAUUUGAAUUAUAGUAGUACAAACCCGGAUUUGUUCGAUUACUCCUCGAUAACGUUUCCUUUCUUUUCGGUGCCGAUGCCUCGAUUUCUUUGGUAACUACAAAAAUAAUAAUAAUAAUUUACACUUAUUAAUAACAGCACUAAUUUAUAAUAAUGAUUGAAUUUCUAUUCAAUUUAUAUCCUAAUUCCAAUUUAAUCCUAAUUAACUCAUUUACUUUUAUAAUUCAAUUCAUACUUCAUUUCGAUUCAAUUUCCUUCCAUAUUUCACUUAACUAUCUAAUGUUCAUAAUAAAAUUAUAAUUUAAAAUUUCUUUCAAUUUAGUCCUUUCAACACAAAACUUAUAGCUUCUUUUACAAUUCAAUCCCUUACCAAAUAUAACUUGAAAUUCAUUCAAUUAAAUCCCUAAUUCAUCUUUUUGUUCAACAUGAACUAUACUUAUAAACCUAUGAACUUUCAAAGUAUCAACUUAAUUUCAUCAAAACCUUGUUCUAAAGCUUGUAAAACAUCAAAAUUAAGUAAAAAUGACUUAAUUGACUUACCUAUUAAAGUUUUAACCUUCAAACCCUAGUUUUUCCCCAUUUUCUUUUCUUUCCCUUUUCUUUCUUCUUGUUUUCGAAUGGCUUCUGCUAUUCUUUCUUUUGCUUUCUUUCUUUAUUUCAUUUCAUUUAUAUAUAUAUAUAUAAUAUUAGUUAAUAAUGAUAAUAAUGAUAAUAAUAAUUAUAAUAAAUAUCUUUUAAUAACACAUAUUUACAUUACAUUUGUCACCACUUAAUUUGUUUAUCGUACACAAAAAUCUUAUAAUAUAAUUAUUUAAUUAAUAACUAUCUUUUACUUAAUUUUCAAGUAAAUAAAUAAAUAUAAUACAAAUGUAUAUAUUUACAUUAUUUCAAUUGUCACUAUCCAAUUUUUUUAUUAGUUAUCUAAUAAAUAUCUUUUACUUAGUAAUAAUAAAUAAUAAAUAUCUAUUUACUAAUUAAAUAUAAGUAUUACAAAUGUACAUAUAUUUUUUUUACAAGUGUACAAUAUCAUCACCACCCAUUUGGCAAAAUUUUGAUUUAUUCAUAUAAUAUAAUAUAAUAUUUUUAAUUUAUAACUAAUAUAAAUUGCCAUAUAAUAAAAUAAUUAUAUACAUAAUAAUUUAAUAAUAAUUAAACAAUAAAAAUUUUAGAUUUUUAUCAACAUUUGCCGCCUCAUUUAUGGUGAAUGGUAUAUUUUCCAUUUUGGUCCCCCUUUCUUUUUAUUAAUCUAAUUUAGCCCUUAAUAUUUAUAAUUUUACCAAUUUGAUUUUUAUUCUUUUUAGUUAAAUUUAAUUCUCUACCUAGUGUCAAAUUUGACUAUUGAUCUUUUAGAAAAUUGUCGAAUUAAUGUUUUGUUCUUUGCUUUCAAUUUGGUUCUGUUCUUAAGCAAAUUUCUGCUUUGUUUCUUCUCCAAGUCACGAGUCUUGUUGUUCAAGUCAUAGCUGAACUAGCUUGCUUGUUGUUCAUAACACCAACAACCUGUUCUCGGCUGGGUUGAUAACAGUAUCAUCGAUGAACCUCCGGAUUGCAUUCAUGAACAUUUUGCCAUCACCCAAGCUUGUAAGCAAUUCAAGAACACGAAAAGGUAAUUGAUUUUCCAACAAGAACAGAUCCGAGUACAAAAAUGUCAGUAAAUCAUUUUUAAUUAACAAAUUACCAUCAUCAUCAUCAUUAUCGUAACGCAUGUCAACUGCUUGUAAAUUUGCGCAGCCGUCAACGAUGAACAUCCAAGCCAGUUCCUCGUUAUCGUCUCUAUACUUCUCUAAUUCCUGUGGAUCAUAGCAUUCCUUCAAGCUAUCCAUCUCUUUCUUAAUUUUUCUGUACAAGGAUUUCUUAUCGACGCCAAUUUUUUUGACGAAAUGUGCUGCUAAUUUGAGGUUGAGCCCCUUGGAUUCACGGAGGGUGAGAUCAUCGUGGUGGAGUGGGCCGAUUGAGAUCACUUUCAGCUUGAAAUACUUCUUGAAAUCUUCGUUACGGAGAAGGGUUGAUGGGACUUUUUGUAUUAAUGGUUUGUAUCUAAGGGUGGGUUGGCCACCAAAAGCUUUGUCUAAUGACUGGAGCUUCGCUACUUCGCCAUCGCUGAGAGGGACGUCGGUGAACCACAUAUCAAUUCCCACGUAAUCGUUGUUGGUGUUGUUGUCGAUGAUUGUUUGAUUAGUGGAAACUGCUCCGGCGGCGCUGCCUCCUUCCUCCAUGGACGACAUUUUCAGGCUGACCGGCUCGAAGUAAUUAACAAGGUGAUUUUGAAAACUUGUUUUGGCUGAUUGAGUGAUGUUGGAAAAAAGGUGGCAAAAUGGCUACGAUGAUAACAAAUCUUCUAUAGCUUACAUAAAGAGGCGAAUAUAGGGGAAUGUAAAAUUGUUAUUUAGGCCCUUAAUAUUUUUUAAAAUUUUAAAUUAGUAAAAGUGAAAUUACAUUUUGGCCUUAUAAAAUUAUAAAAAUUCAAUUUAAUCUUUUAAAAAUUAUAAAGAUAUAGACUACAAAAAAUUAAAAUCUCAUUCGAUCCACCCUAAAAAAUUAUUCGGGCUUCGCCACUGCUUACAUAAUAAACAUAUGGAAAAUACUUUUGGUGUAAUUCAAAUUUACCCCUUAUAGUCAAUUUAAUUUUCAUUUUUUUAAUUUAAUUUUCUAUCUUUUGGAAGAGUUGAAUUUAACUAUCAAUUUAAAUUAAUAUUUUUUAACGAAAAUAGUGACUAAAAUAUUAAAAUAUUAAACAUGACAACUCAAACGGCAAUCCACAUCUAUAUGUUUUUUUUAUUUAUUUCUUAUUUUUAAAUUAUUUAUUGAUGUGACAUAUAAUAAAAGUAUUGUUAUAUUAGCAUGAAGUACACAUGGAAGGCCACACGAGUUGUGACACCAAUAUCGUUAAAAAUUAAUAUUUUAGUUAGCAUAUCUGUUAAAGAAAAGCAAAUGAACUCUUUUUUCAAAGGUUAAUGGCUAAAUUUAGCUCAAAUGAAAAAAAAAAAAGGCCAAUUUGAUAAAAAAGGUAAAUGUCAAGAGUUAAGUUUAACAUUUAUACAAGUACAAAUAUAUGUCUGGAUUAAUCUAGAAAGAACAAGACAAACUCUACAGGUGAUAUACAAAUGUGAUGAGAGUGGAACCUGCACAUCACAAUUGAGAAUAAUAUUAUAGAACCUAAAUACUCAAAAACCUAAAACCUUCCCCUUAACCAAGAAGCUAAGACGCCAUGGAUAAUUUUAUAUCUACAACACUUAUGAAUUUCAUAUGCUUAAUAAUAGUUUACAAAAAGACAAGUAAAGAACACUUACUUCGGUUGAUGUAUGGUAUAAUAAGUCUGCAAAGCACUAAGAGUAAGUGCAGCAAUGGCACCCAAAAAUGCUAAAAACGUCCAAGGACUCCUAAAAUAAGUAUGAUAACCUUGAGCUGCAUGAUUAAUCCACAUAGUCUUACAAUGAUUAUGUAUUUUCUCUUUAACCCCACUGUAAAUUGUCGGACUAGGAACCAAAUCAGUGUUCAUCUUAUUGAAAAGCUUAGCCAUUUCUUCAUCACUGCCCAAUCCAUUGUAUAGUAUGCCGGAGUCUCUAAGGUCUUUAACAUCUUCGGCUUCAUCGAUCAAUAAAUCAAGGAAACACAUAUAUGAAGUGACGGUGAAAUCGUUGUCGAAAUCCGGACACAUUUCGUAAGCUAUUAAGUUCAUGGUUGAAUCAUCGACGGAGAUCGGCGGUAACCGUAAUUUUCCGAAGAAGAAGAUAUGGUUGAAACUGAUGUCGGUUAAAUUACUUGUUUCGCUGGCUUCUAACCAUAUCCCGGCCUUUUUAAGCUCUUUUACGUUACCAAUGGUGCGUGAAUGGUACCGUUUUGUUCUUUUUCUUCUUGCUGCUGCUUUGCCAAAUCCGUGUCGAGUGAAUUCCCAAAGAAAACACCAGCACCGUAUUCGUACUUUUCUGAGAAGGAGUCUUUCUCGUAGUAGAUGCAAUAAGUGAAUUCGCUCUCCUUCUUUUUGCUGCUUCCACCACCAUUCCCUACACCAAAAUCUGUGUUAGUCGGAAGCCAAGCUACAAUUUCUCUUUUCUCUUUUCUUUUUUUCUUUUUUGUUGUUAAUACAAAAAUAUUAAAAAUCAAUCUAUACUUGUUAAUCAAGUUGGUUGAAUAAAAAAUUAAAUAAAAUUGAAGUUAUACCAAUUGAAUUAAAGAAUGGAAUAAAUUUCUUUUUAUAUUUUUAAUAUUUUUAAAAAUUUAUAUAAUUAAACUGAAUUAACUAAUCAAAUGGAAAAGAGAGUCUAAUAGAUUCCAUCACCUAUGUAGUUAUAAAAACCUUUUAACAUUUAUAAACUCCACAAAAAUGAUUCUUUAUUUAAUUCCCUAAAUUACCUGUCCUCGCCUGGGUUGAUAACAGUUUCGUCGAUGAACCUUUGGAUUGCAUUCAUGAACUUUUUGCCAUCCCCCGAGCUUGUAAGCAAUUCAAGAACACGAAAAGGUAAUUGGUUUUCCAACAAGAACAGAUCCGAGUACACAAAUGUCAGCAAAUCGUCUUUAAUAAACAAUUUACCAUCAUCAUCAUCAUCAUCAUCAUCACCGUAACGCCUGUAAACUGCUUGUAAAAUUGCGCAGCCGUCAACGAAGAAAAUCCAAGCCAGUUUCUCGUUAUCGUUGCUAUAGUUCUCUAAUCCCUUUGGAUCAUAGCAUUUCUUUAACUCAUCGAUCUCUGUCUUCAUGUUGUUGUACAAGGUAUCCUUAUCGACGCCAAUUUUUUUGACGAAAAGUGCUGCUAAUUUGAGCUUGAGCUUCUCGGAUUUAUGGAAGGUGGGAUCAUCGUGGUGGAGUGGGCCGAUUGAGAUCACUUUCGGCUUGAAAUACUUACUGAAAUCUUCGUGACGACCAAGGGUUGAUGGGACUCUUUGUAUCAAUGGUUUGGCACGGAGGUCGAUUUCGUCGCCGUCGAAAGCUUCGUCUAAUGACCGGAGAUUCACUACUUCGCCAACGCUGAGAGGGACGUCCAUAUCAAUGCUCACGGAAUCGUUGUUGUCGGUGAUUGUUUGAUCAGUGGGAGCUGCUCCGACGGCGCCGCCUCCUUCCUCCGUGGAGGACAUUUUCAGGCUGAGCGGUUGGAAGUAAUAAACAAGGUGAUUUUGUAAACUGUUUUUGGCAGAGUGAGUGAUGUUGGAGAAAAGGUAGCAAAGUGGAUAAGAUGAUGACAAAUAUUUUGUAGCUUACAUGAUAAACAUAUAUGGGAAAUACUUAAGGCGUUAGUGUUUAUAUUUUUACUAAUAUAAACAAUGAUAAAAAAGAAAAGUUAAAUAGUGACAAAUACUAAAAUUGAGAAUAAUAUUAUGGAACCUAAAUACUCAACACUACUCAAAACCUUCGCCUUUAACCAAGAAACUAAGACCCUAUCUGAGGGAGAAUUUUAUAUCUACAACACUUCCUAAAUUUCAUUAGCUUAAUAAUAGCUAUUCAAAUAUAUUUUUUCAUUUUAUUACUGACUUUAAUAUUUAAAUUAUCAUUAUAUUGCAUGAUUUAUUCCAAAUAUUUACAUAUAGUAAUUGCAUUUGUAAUUCUACCUAACUAUGAAAAAUCUCAAAUUUGCAACAUGUUAUUCACAUGCCAACCAACCAAUAUAUUAUUCCUACCAACCAAUUUAUCAUUCACAUUCCAACUUUCUAAAUCCAUCAAAUAUUUCAUAUUCAUGUACUAACAAAGAUCAUGCCAAGAACCCACAUGCAAAGUCAUUGUAUAGUACCACAUUUAACUCAAUCGGACUUUUACACAACUAAAGAUUACUCCAAACGUUUAUAUGCAUGUCACAAUCCUUCACUCAAAAUGAUAAAAAAAACUAUUAAAUUGACGAUAAAAUAGUUUAAGCUUCGACCGAUUCAACCGACGUGUUCUAGCAUAUAAUAUGUUUAGUAAGCUCAUAUGGAAACUAAAACUUACCUAGAUCAAUUGAACAUAAAAAAUUACUCAAUAAGCUAUCGAAUUAAUUUUUCCCUGACACUUAUAUACAUAUAGUACAUCUAAUAAAAUUUCUGUUAAAGAAAAGCAAUUUGACUCUUUUUCUAAAAAGUUAAUAACUAAAUUUAGCUCAAAUAAAAAAAAAGAAUAAAAGUCAAUUUGAUAAAAAAUAUAAAUAUUAAAAAUUAAAUUUAUCAUUAUAUCUUUUUUAAGUAAUUAUUUGUGGUGAGCCAUCAUGUCUGACGAUGAUUUUUAAAUACUGUAUUAAUUAUAUAUAGCACAUCAUAUUUCACUAUAAUUUCUAUAGACUUUUUAAACAUGGGGUUAAUUGUUUAUGGCCCAUUGCCCAUGUUGCUUUUAUUAAAUUUUGGGUGAACUUCUCAUUUUGGUCAAAAAAAAAUUGUAUUCUCAGUAUAAAACAAAAAACUAAUCUUUAAUGUUUAUGGCCAAACCCCACCUCUCCUAUCCUAUAAUAAUGGUUCUUGGCUUCUUCUAUCCUACACCUCAAUUAUUUGGAUUAGAUUGAAAAACAAUUGACACUUGAUUUGAUUGUGAAAUAAAGUUAAAUUUUAAAUUUAUAAUAUUUAAUUUGAGUGUGAAUGAAUUUUUGACUUAAUUGAAAAUUUAAAAUUUUAAGUUCGAGUCGUAUUUAAUUAUGUGUGUAUAUCGUGUAUAAAUUUUGUUCAAAUUUAUUUUGAUUUAAUUUUCAUACUAUAUAUUCUUAAUUAAAUUCGGAAUAUAUUUUGAUUAUCAAUUUAACCAUACAUUGUAACGAUGGAUUAAAAUUAUAGUUAAUUAUAUAUUGAAACUAAAUAAUUAGUUUAAGGAAUUAAAAGAUAUUAUUAUAUUUUAUAAAAUUUGAAUAGAUUCAUAAUUAAUUCGAGAUUAAAAAAUGGGAGAAGAAAAGCUAAAACCAAACCUUUUUUACGGUUGGAACUAAACCCCAUGCGGUGUGGAAAAUUGCAAGUUUCCAGAAUAUACCUACACUUACUAAUUAUAAUAAAUAUCUUUUACUUAGUAAUAAUAAAUAAUAAAUAUAUAUUUACUAAUUAAAUAUAAAUAUUACAAAUGUACAUAUAUUUUGUUUACAAUUGUACAAUAUCAUCACCAUCCAUUUGGCAAAUUUGAUUUGUUCAUAUAAUGUUAAUUUAUAACUAAUAUAAAUUACCGUAUAAUAAAAUAAUUAUGUACAUUAUAAUUUAAUAAUAAUUAAACAAUAAAAAUCUUAGAUUUUUUAUCAACAUUUGCCGCCUCAUUUAUGGUGAAUGGUAUAUCUCCCAUUUUGGUCCCCCUUUCUUUUUAUUAAUUCUUUUUCCUAAUUUCUCCUAAUUAAGCUAAAUUCACUUAAUUAAAUCCUAAUUAAACACACAACUAGCCUCACAAAUAUUCUUAAUAAAACAUUUACAAACUCGGUUUACUAAGACAGAAGCCCUAUAACUCACUUUUUCGGUGCCCGUGAAUUUUGGGCCAUUACACAUUCUUCCGUGGAUAACAUUUUUAGGCUGAGCGGUUCGAAGUAAUUACCAAGGUGAUUUUGUAAACUGUUUUUGGCUAAGUGAGUGAUGUUGGUGAAAAGGUGGCAAAAUGGCUACAAUGUUUCUAUAGCUUAUAUAUAAUGAACAUACGGAAAAUAUUUUUGUGUAAUAUCAAAUUUAGCCCUUAAUAUUUAUAAUUUUACCAAUUUGAUUCUUAUUCUUUUUAGUUAAAUUUAAUUCUCUACCUUUUGAAAGUGUCAAAUUUUCUUGGCUGGAAGCUCACUGCAUGGAAGCCAAAAUCAAAACAAACUUUUGAUGGUUUAAUUGUUUUUGAGCCCUUCAAUUUCAGGUGCUAUGAGAAAUGGAUUACAACCUCAUCUUGUCGUUAUCCCAAAAUCAAAACAAGCAACUCUUGGUUGAAAGUUGAAACCAAGGGCCAAGUCAAAAUUGUUUUAGGAUGAGUCCAAAAUGAAUAAUGAAUUUGAAGGUUCAAAAUAAAAUUUUAUUAAUAUAUAAAUUUAUAAUUUCAUAAAUUUUAAAAGGAUUAAAUGAUAAAUUUACUAAUUUAAGAAGACAAUAGGGAUGGUCAAAUAUUCUAAUUGAACCUAUCUGCGAUCGGAUCGGGAUGGAUUUUUUUAAUUAAAAAAAUUAAAUAGAUUGAAUCGAAAUUCUAGGAGUUACAAAAUUCUCAUAAAUAACAAGAGUUUACAAAAAGUACACUUACUUUGGUUGAUGUAUGGUAUAAUAAGCCUGCAAAGCACCGAUAAAAAGUGCACCAAUGGCACCCACAAAUGCGAAAAACGUCCAACGAGUCCUAAAAAAAGUACGGUAAACUUGAGCUGGAUAUGUAAUCCACAUAUUGUUAUGAUGAUCAUGUAUUUGCAGUUUAACAUGUCUGUAAAUCAUCAGACUAGGAACCAAAUCCAUGUUCAUCUUCUUGAUAAGCUUAGCCACUUCUUUAUCACUCCCAAAUCCAUGGUAUAGUAUGCCUGCGUCUCUCAGUUCCUUAACAUCUUCGGCUUCAUCGAUCAAUGAAUCAAGGAAACCCAUAUAUGAAGUGACGGUGAAAUUGUUGUAGAAAUCCGGACAAUUUCGUAAGCUAUUAAGUUCAUGGUUGAAUCAUCGACGGUGAGAGGCGGUAACCGUAAUUUUCCGACGAAGAAGUAAUGGUUGAAACUGAUGUCGGUUAAACAACUUGUUUCGCUUGCUUCUAACCAUAUCCCGGCGUUUUUAAGCUCUUUUACGUUACGAAACGGGUGUGAAUGGUGAGGUUUUAUUCUUGUAUGGUUUCUGCGAUUUGUGAAGGAUAUGCAAAACCUAGAAGGCCAUGGUUUUUCUUUUUUGAAAAGGAGUCUUACUCGUAGUAGAUGCAAUAAGUGAAUUGGCUCUUUAUUUUUUUCUUGCAGCUGCUGCCACCAUUCACUAGAGCAAAAUCUGUGUUAGUCGGGAGCAAGCUAAAAUUAAGGUUUUCAAUGGUUGAAUCAAAUCAUUAUUAUUUAAUAAAAAAUUAUUUAAAUUAUUAAAUUACAUUUUAAUCCUUUUAAAAAUUAUUAAAUUAUAAAUUUGUAUACAAUAAAAUUAUAUUUUGACUCCUCAAAAUGAAUAAAAAAUUGUUUAAACACUUUUAAAAAAUGAUGACAUCAUAAAUUAAUGCAAAAAAAAAAUCUAAGAAUUAAACCAAACUUGUCUAUCGGCCUAAUUAAACAGAGAAUCAAGCAAGGUACUAAUCCAGAAUAAUAAAUUAAAUCCAUUGAAUCUAAUCAUCAAAUCGAUUUUUUUUAUAUUUUUAAUAUAUCUUUAAUAUUUUUAAAAUUUUAUAUAAUUGAAUCGAAUAAACUAAUCAACCAAAAAUGAGACUCUAAUGGAUUGUAUCACCUAUAUAUGUAGUUGUAAAAAUCCUUUUAACAUUUAUAAACUCCACAAAUUGAUUCAUUUAUAAAUUCCUUAAAUUACCUGUCCUGCUGAUGUGAUUGUGGGUCUUUAACAGUGCCGUUGAUGAACCUUAUGAUUGCCUCCAUGAAUUUUGUGCCAUCCUUCGAUCUUGUAAGCAAUUCAAGAACACGAAAAGGUAAUUGGUUUUCCAACAAGAACAGAUCCGAGUACACAAAUGUUAGCAAUUCGUUUUUAAUAGAAAAUUCGUUCGACGUACGACAACGAUCUUGGCCGUAAAGCAUAUAAACUGCUUGUAAAAUUGCGCAGCCGUCAACGAAGAACAUCCAAGCCAGUUUCUCGUUAUCGUUGCUAUAGUUCUCUAAUCCCUUUGGAUCAUAGCAUUUCUUUAAGCCAUCGAUCUCUGUCUUCAUGUUGUUGUACAAGGUAUCCUUAUCGACGCCAAUUUUUUUAACGAAAAGUGCUGCUAAUUUGAGCUUGAGCUUCUCGGAUUUAUGGAGGGUGGCAUCAUCGUGGUAGAAUGGGCCGAUUGAGAUCACUUUCGGCUUGAAAUACUUACUGAAAUCUUCGUGACGACCAAGGGUUGAUGGGACUCUUUGUAUCAAUGGUUUGGCACCGAGGUCGAUUUCGUCGCCGUCGAAAGCUUCGUCUAAUGACCGGAGAUUCACUACUUCGCCAACGCUGAGAGGGACGUCCAUAUCAAUGCUCACGGAAUCGUUGUUGUCGGUGAUUGUUUGAUCAGUGGAAACUGCUCCGACGGCGCCGCCUC
rnacentral:lncRNA from 1 species